UUUUUUUUAGUAAACCCUAGUUGGUUUCAGAGGGGACUGGGGGUUCUGUCAUCCCCAUUUCAGGUUUCUGAUGAAAGAGUAAACAUGAUGCAACACUCUAAUGCAUGGCUAACUAGGAUGUGACAACUCACCCCCACUCAAAAGAAUCUCGUCCCGAGAUUUGGGUUCCUCCAGGAAGAAGGCGGGAUACUCAAGUCGAAGACGAUCCUCCCUUUCCCAAGUUGCUUCAUCCUCAGAAUGGUGCGACCAUUGAACUUUGAGAAACUUGAUAUUAUGACGUCGAGUGGUACGCUCGGCCUGAUCGAGGAUACGAAUGGGGUACUCUCGAUAUGUAAGAUUAUCUUGGAGAUCAAGCGUUUCGUAGUCCACUCCACGGAUAGGAUCCGAGAAGCAACGCCUGAGUUGAGAAACGUGGAAGACAUCGUGGACUCUGGAGAGGUGCGGAGGUAGUUCCAACUGGUAGGCAACUUCUCCUCGUUUGGCGAGAAUGCGAAAAGGUCCAAUGUAACGAGGAGCCAAUUUGCCUUUGAUACCGAAACGAUGGGUUCCCUUCAGAGGGGUAACCCGAAGAUAAGCCUUCUCGUCAACCUCGAAAGUCAUAGACUUAUGUUUUCGGUCAUAUUGACUCUUUUGACGAGAUUGGGCUGUUUUCAACUUUUCACGAACGAUGCGAACUUGUUCUUCUGCUUCCUGAAUCAUAUCUGGGCCAAAGAAUUGUCUUUCCCCGGUCUCUGACCAGUUAAGGGGUGUUCGACACCGUCGUCCAUAGAGAACUUCAAAAGGGGCUUUACCCAAGCUAGAUUGAUAGCUGUUGUUGUAAGCGAAUUCGGCAAAUGGAAGGCAUUUCUCCCAACCCAUUCCGAAUGAGAUAACAGAGGCUCGAAGCAUGUCUUCUAGAAUCUGGUUGACUCGUUCCACUUGACCACUCGACUGAGGGUGGAAAGCGGUGCUAAAGGAGAGACGGGUUCCCAUAGCAUUUUGGAAACUUUCCCAAAAUCGAGAGGUGAAAAGACUUCCUCGAUCCGAGUUAAUUUCCAAGGGAACACCAUGGAGAGACACUAUUCGGGAGAUGUAUAAGUCUGCCAAUUGACUAGCGGUUAUACUCUCAUGAACAUGUAGGAAAUGGGCUACUUUGGAAAGACGAUGGACAACGACGAAAAUAGCAUUAUUCCCUCUCUUGGUCCUGGGAAAACCGGUAAUGAAAUCCAUACUAAUUUUAUCCCAUUUCCAUUCAGGAAUAGCUAAGGGUUGAAGGGUGCCAGCAGGCCGUUGAUGCUCUGCUUUUACACGACGACAGACGUCGCAAUUAGCAAUAUACUGAGCAAUUUCUCUCUUCAUCCUAGUCCACCAGAACCUCUGGCGUAGGUCCUGAUACAUCUUGGUACUACCGGGAUGGAUGGUGAGAGGAGAUUCAUGAGCCUCCUUAAGGAUCAACUGCCGUAGAUGCUGGUUCUUGGGAACCACUAAACGGUUCUCAAAGUACACAACACCAUGAUCAUUUGUGGAGAAACAACUAGCACCUCCACUAGCAAUGUUCUCCUUGAUUUUAGAUAUUCCCUUAUCUCGCUUUUGGGCAGCGAUGAUAUGAUCCGUAAGAGUAGGUUUCGCCACCAAGGUGGAAAGAAAUCCUUGAGGAACAAUGUGAAGGUUAAGCUUCCGAAAUUCCUCAUGGAGAAGCGGUUGACCUUGUUGUAACAUCAGGUUGUUACAAUAAGAUUUACGACUUAGCGCAUCAGCCAUGACGUUGGCUUUCCCUGGGGUGUAAGUUAUUCCUAAGUCGAAAUCUGUGAUCAACUCGACCCAACGUCUUUGCCUGAGAUUCAAAUCCGGUUGGGUGAAGAUGUACUUCAGACUUUGGUGAUCAGUGAAUAUUUCGCAACGAUUACCGAGGAGGUAAUGUCGCCAGGUUUUAGUGCAUAGACUACGGCUGCAAGCUCUAGAUCAUGAGUAGGAUAAUUCUCCUCAUGUGGGUGCAAUUGCCGUGAAGCGUAAGCAAUUACGUGUCAAUCUUGCAUGAGGAUGCAACCUAGUCCUUGUCGCGAGGCGUCGCAGUAGAUAACAAAGUCCUUAGAGAAGUCUGGCGGUACCAGUACGGGAGCAGAAGUCGGGCGUCUUUUCAGUUCCUGAAAGCUGUGCUCACAUUGUGGAGUCCAUUCGAACUUCUUAUCUUUCUUGAGGAGUUCGGUUAGAGGUUUAGCAACUUUGGAGAAGUUUUCGACAAAGCGACGGCAAUAGCUCGCUAAGCCCAGAAAACUCUGAACUUGCUUGACCGAUUCAGGUGGAGUCCAAUUAAGGACGGCUUGAACUCGCUCAGGGUUAACAGCAAUACCUUUACCAGAUAUUACAUGACCCAGAUAGGUCACUUCCGACAACCAAAAUUCACAUUUGGAAAACUUGGCAUAAAGGCGGUGCUCUCGAAGUUUCUUAAACACUAGCCUUAGAUGUUCGGCAUGUUCCUCCUCGUUCUUGGAGUAGAUGAGUAUAUCAUCGAGAUAAACUACGACGAAUUUAUCCAAAUACUCCAUGAAGAUUGAGUUCAUUAACCGAGAAAAGGUGGCUGGAGCGUUGGUUAAACCGAAGGACAUGACGGUGUACUCGUAUUGGCCAUAACGAGUAACAAAGGCCGUUUUAGGAAUGUCCCCGUUUCUGAUUUUGAUUUGAUGGUAGCCCAACCUCAAAUCCAUCUUGGAGAAGACUGAGGAUCCAGCGAGCUGAUCAUACAGGUCGUUGAUCCUGGGAAGCGGAUAUUUGUUCUUGAUUGUGACCAAAUUGACAGGUCGAUAAUCUACAACCAUCCGGUCCGUACCAUCCUUCUUCUUGACGAACAGGACGGGGCAAGCCCACGGAGAUGAACUAGGUCGGAUGAAACCCUUUUUCAAGGACUCAUCGAGUUGUUUCUUAAGCUCGGCUAGUUCUAGUGGUGCCAUCUUAUAGGGUCUUCUAGCAAUCGGAACGGUUCCUGGAAUGAGGUCUAUUACGAACUCAACAUCCCUGUCACGUGGAACACCUGGCAAUUCCUCUGGGAAGACAUCCAGGAAGUCACGGACUACCGGAACGUCCUCAAGGUCUGGCAAAGGGCUGGUGUUAAGAGAAUAUAAUUGUCGCUUGGCUAAUCGGGUCAAGACAUUGACUAUCUUCCCCGAAGGAUGAGUGAGUUGAACAGUCCUAGAGUAGCAAUCAAUUUUGGCAUGAUGAGCUGACAUCCAGUCCAAACCCAAAAUGAUAUUAAUAUCUGAAAAUUUGAGAGCUAUCAAAGAUGCAAGGAAAACAAGUCUAUCGACUUGGAUUUCAUUUCCAUAACUUACCCUGGAGGUCUGCCAUCUAGAACCGGGAGUAGAAAUUUCCAUAGUGGAUGGCAUGUUACAGAAUGCGGUGUUAUGCAAACGAGCAUAGUUCUCGGAUAUAAAUGAAUGAGAGGCUCCUGUAUCGAAAAGAACAGAUGCCGGGUGGCAAUUAACAAGGAGCGUACCAAGAACGACGUUGGGAUCCUCUUGAGCUUCUUCGGCAGAGAUACAGUUGACAUGGCCACGUAUAGCGGUGGCCGGCUUGGCGUGGAACACUUUCCCUGUCGGCUUGCCACGGCCAACAACUUUAGCAGAUUGGUUGGGGUUGGUCUGGGGACACUCACGCAUAUAGUGACCAGAUUCCCCACACUUGAAACAGGUCACGGAACUGGUACGUGGAGGAGCAUUGUUGGUUGGACCACCAUAGGGCUUGGCUGGUGCAGACUGUUGAACAGGGCGAGGCACCUGGAAGGAUGGCCUCGGUGUGAACCUGGGUGGCAGGGCAGUGUUGGGCACCCACACGCGGCGCUUCUGAGGACCAGCACCGGAUGAGGAACCCACGUCACGGCCAUGCUUGCGUGUUGCAUCAUAAUCAGUCUGACCAGUUUCAGCACUGAUGGCCUUGUUAACAAGUUUCUGAAAAGAUGUGCACUCAUGCAGACGGAGGUCGCGGCGAAGCUCAGGACUAAGCCCCUUACGGAACCUUGCUUGCUUCUUGGCAUCAGUAGAAACUUCCUCAGUUGCAUAUCGUGCGAGGUUACCGAACUCCCUGCUAUAAGCAUCCACAGAGAGUCGGCCCUGAGUGAAACUGCAAAAUUCCUCACGUUUACGGUCCAUGAGACCCUCCGGAAUGUGAUGUUCACGGAAAGCCUCGCUGAAUUCAGUCCAAGUAGUGACAUGGCCCGCUGGGCGCAUAGCUCCAUAAUUCUCCCACCAUAGACUGGCGGGGCCUUCAAGAUGAUAUGCAGCAAAGGUGACCUUGUCAGCCUCCGCUACCAGCGCGGAACGCAGUUUGUGAGAAAUACUGCGAAGCCAAUCAUCAGCGUCGAGAGGCUCGACGGAGUGGUGGAACGUGGGUGGAUGUAACUUGAUAAAAUCACUGAGUGACACCACGUUAGUCCUCUGAUGGUGUGCCGUGUUCUGUUCAAUACGCUCCAACAAACGGUUGGUCUCCCGCUUGUUUCUUUCGGCUUCCAUCAUAACCUCGGCUAGGGAAGGAGGAUGAGGCAGAUUUGCAUUCCUGACUUCGCUGCCUUCGGCCUGCUCUUGAGGAGCAGGGUUAGUGCGCGUGUUGACCAUCCUAGGUAAACAAGACAAUGAUUUAGUCAGGAUGAUAAAAUUCCGACAUAGGAUACAGAAUGUAAGGAAUAACUCGGAAUGCAAGAUGAUCAUCCGUAUGACAUGGUAGAUACAGAAACUGCUUCUUUAUUCCAUCAUCAUACACACCAUAUAGGGUUUAGUACAAGACCAAACAAGAUACUAUUACGGUGAAAAGAGGAUUACAUCUCAUCGGAGGCAUUCCAAGCUCCUAUACAUUAUUUUUCUACACCUCCGGAAGGCGAUACAAACUAGGUCAUAUCCCACGAGUCACGUAGGACGAUAGACGACACAACUAACACGAACUAGUGAUACUACCACUAACUCAGACCGAUCCGUAGUAGUCCUCGUAGAAGUCACCUCCACAGCCUGGAAGCUCAACAUGAUCAUCCGGAAACAGACGAUCUCGCGGAGCUUGUGGACCAUAGGGGCUAGGAUGAGGUCUUGGACCAACAGACGGUGGCCUGCGGGGACCGCGAGGUGGGGUGAUGCCUCCUACAUCACGCCAACCCAUCAUGUCUGGCAAAGCAGAUCUCACAGGAUAGAGAUCGCGCAUAUCCGAAUAUCCAGCUUGCACCGCCGGUGCAAACCGAGUCAAUGUGGCCCAGUGGUCAGCACAGGUAUUGAAGAGCUCUAACCUCAAGGCCCGAUUUUCACGGUCCUUAUCCUCGAGCAUCUCAGCAGUGGUGCGAGUCCGUGAAUCCUCCUGGGUGGGGUCAGCAUAGAUAGCCUGGAGAUACCCUUGUGCUCCCGGAAGUGAUCCCGGCAUAUACGGGAAAUCAGAGUCCCGAAAUAGACCAGACCUGACUCGCAUGAUGGUCAUCAUAGAGUAGGCGGCGUCCUGCACAGCCAUCUCAAUAGUAACCCCGAGUCCAUAGAAGCAGUGAAGGGGCUCGGUGGAUCCAAGAUAAGAUGGAAAUAUCCUGACAGUGCAGAGAUACUGGCUUUGAUUAAAGUCCCGAAAUUGCUCUUCGACCGUGUACUCAGGAUACCAACGGUAUCCAGCCUCGGUCAUUACCCUGACCAACAUGGCGGUAUGACCGGGUACAUCUAGGCAUCGAGUCAGGCGAACCACUUGAUUAAGGUCGCGAGUGGCCAUCUGAAAGCACAAUCAUAAUGCAAAGGCAUUAGAAUUUCUAGCAAAAUUUCGGCAGCAUAACAGCUGUAAAUGCUCAAGAAGGAUUUUGAGACAUUUGACAAAGGAUUUCAUACACACUCAACAUCUUCAUAUCAAAGUUCUGAAUCCAUUCUAACAACAUAAUGUGGUAGUAGAACUGAACUAGGCUUGUAUCCAUCAAACUUAUAAGGUACUACUGAUUAGUAACACGUGAUCCUGAUAGAGAGAAUAGAUCCUAAUUCCUUAACCCCCGGUGGAAGAAUAGACUGACUCAGAUCAGAAUGUUAUAAGAUAAAGGAGUAAAAAGAGCCUUACGUGCCAACCCACAAACAAUUCCCCUACAUAUAACUAAAGAAUUUCUAGACUCAACAUCGACCAGUUUGGCUUGGAGAACCUACAGGCAGUCCGGCUCUGAUGCCAACGCUGCCAGGACCCCGACUCGAUGUCACAUCAAUCUAGCUUGUAACACCUCAUAUCACUUUGCGGCCUCACGCACGGUAUCCCCACGGUGUCGCCUUACCUUUGCCCGGGACCGUUUGCGCCUUUUGGCUCACGUAUAUGAUAGUGUCGCUAGCAUCCAUAUGAUAAAGAGCCCGGGCUGACAUGACUAGUCGUAAACCCAAAGUGGCACAGACUUACAGGGACAGGCAUCCAUGACCCAGCUUCGAACGUGUCGGUCAUCAGCAAGUGGGUCCGGGCUGUAGCACUGGGCUAGCAGGACUCCGGUAAACCGGGCUGUAGCGGGCUAACAGGACUCCGGUACUCAAUGCGUGAAAUUUCCCCGAAGGGACAGACACCGGAACGAAGAAGGACACAUGCCGGCCAGCCUAAGUGUUCCAGAGCAGUAGCAAGCUACCAUGGCUCAGCGGUAACACUAGGAGACAUUUCCCGGUAAGAGAGGCUACUAAAGAUAAACAACUAGAUAGUCAGAUCCCACACAUUCCAAGCAUUUCAAUCAUACACACAAUAUGCCCGAUAUGUGCAAAUACAACAAGUCAUCACAACAUGACUCUACGACACAAGCACUUUAUUUAAGGCUCAGAGAGCCAUACAUAACAUACACAAAGGUACGGGUCACACGACCCAGCAUUCAAGUCAUACGGUCAUACAAACUAGCAGCGGAAGUAACUUGUCUGAGUACAGACAACUAGCAAAAUAAAAGAGGCUUGGAAAGCCUAGCUAUACUACGAGGUCCUUCACAAGCUGAGGAUCACCACCUGGGCCUUAGCCUACUCAUUGAUGUCAACGUCUACGAAGAACCCAUCAGAAGGGGUUGCAGCGUCUUCUGUAAAAAAUGUAAAUUAUAGCAACAUGACUACAAAGGUACUCAGCAAGACUUACAUCAGAUCCUACAUACAUGCAUAUUAUCAAGAAGGGUUGGUGGAGUUAUUGCAGCAAGCCAGCUUUGACUCUUGGCUAGGCUAACCUACGAGACUCCAACUUGAAAUGGUUUUGCGCACACGAGUCCGCUACUCUCCACUUCAAUACACUACCGAGGAUCCACCUUCGUCUUCCUACGGAAGAGCCAUCCUCGGCACUCACACUUAUCUUGAGGCUUUUAGUAGUUUCCAUUUACUUGUCUAUGAACUGUAUAGGCAACCAAGUAGUCCUUUACCGCGGACGCGGCUAUUCGAAUGGAUCAUGAUAACCCUGCAGGGGUGUACUUCUUCAUACAUGUUUCCACCACUUAGCGUCUGCACACGACAUGUGCUCGGCAGACUUCAAGUGAAAGCCGACGUGGGUGUAGACCACGACCUACCUAAACACUUAAGCCUCUAGUCCAGGUUUAUCGCCUAUCCAGGUUCCAUCCGCAGGGAGUCCGGCCGAGGUUUCCCAUACGGCCCCGAACGAUGUGAACAGGGUUCCCGAGAUACCUAACGGGUAUUCGGUACACCCGGCCACGUACCUACCGCAUCACAGCCCACCCCUACGGUCAGCGCUGUCCACGGCCUCCAGUAGGCUACAAACACCAGAAACUACUUGCAACUCCUAGACAGAGAGCUAGGGUGAAUAACAAGUCGAGCGGGGUCAUAUUUCAGGGCCCAAUGCAUGGUAGUAGCUGUAUCUUAAAUCACACAUAUAGAUCUCAGUGCUUAAGGUCGGCUUCAAUGAAACAACCCACCAUGUACUCCUACAUGGCCUCUCAUCGAUACCUUUACCAAAUCGUGUUCACCACACCACUCUCAUUACCGACAUAAUCAUUUCACUCUAGCCCAUCACCCAGAUGAACCAGACCUGACACGACUCUAAGCAUAGCAGGCAUAGCAAGGUAGGAACAACACAUACAUAUGGCUCAAUCAACUCCUACACAUGCUAGUGGGUUUCAUCUAGUUACUGUGGCAAUGACAGGUCAUGCAGAGGAAGUGGGUUCAACUACCGUAGCACACAGCAGUUUGAAACGCGUUGUCUUAAUGCAGUAAAAGAGAGCAGGAGCGAGAACAUGGGAUUGUAUCGAUAUGAUCAAAUGGUUGGUUGCUUGCCUGAUGGUUCGAUGCACUGAUACGGUUCUUCGUUAGGGUAAUCACGAUACUCCUCGGAGGCAGAUCCUGCCGCAAAGAACACCGAUACACAACCAUCACCAAACAAUGUGCAACAAUAUGAUGCAUGCAUGAAACAUAGCAAUAUGAGUGUGUUGGGCUAAUGCAACUAAGACCAGAAGGGUUUGAACCAAUUUGAAUCAAAGAUUCAAAUUUCAAACUUAAACAUGGCCCUUUAAAGUGUUUUUCCUUGUUCUGUAUUAAACAUCAGGUUAACUUGUUUAAUCAUGCAUGAAAAUAGUACAGAUGGAUAGAUUGGAUUUUUCUGAUCAUUUUUCAUAUAUAAUUUGUCUGCUUUGGAGUUACAGAAUAAAAGUUAUGAAUUUUUGAAGUUUAAAUUAUAUUCUGGAAUUUCCUAUAUUAGAAUAAUUCUAGAAAAUCAAUUAUUGCGUCAGCCUGACGUCAGUGUGACGUCAGCAGGUCAACGGAACACGUCCGGGUCAAACCUGACAGUGGGUCCCGCAUGUCAGGGUGAUUAAAUUAAUUAAAGUUUAAUUAAAACUAAACCUGUUUAAUUAACAGGGCUGGGCCCCACCUGUCAUUGACUCAGGGGAGUCAACCAGGGCCCACCCGUGGUCAAACCCGGGUCGCCUGCACCGGCGUUUAGCCGCCGGCGAGCCCGACGCGGCGACGGAAGUGGUUUUGGCUGUUUCAGCCACCAAAUGGGUCGCGGAGACCACCGGAGUGGAGCUGAGGACAAGCCGCAGCUCUUGGUGGAGUCCGUUGGGGUCGGGGUGGCCGGAGUUGGCGCCGGCGACGACUUUGGCGGCCACCGGGGUUCGGCCGAAGACGAACUUGACGCUAGAGGGGUCGGUGAGGCUCGGGGAGUGGCUAGCUAGGUGCUAAGAGACACGGUGAGCAUGAUGGACACCGUGGAGUGGCCGGAGGAUGACCGGGAGCACGUCGGCGACGAGCUCCACGGCGGUGGGUGCGGUUGAGCUCCGGGAGGUUGCUACAUGGCUCGGGAGCAAGAACGGAAGGAAGGGGGAGAUGGCUAAGCUCACAGUGAGUGCGACGAAGCCCUUGGCGUGGCCGGAGAUGGACCGGAGCGACGACGAUGUUGAAGGGGAUCUCCGGCGACGGCGGUUCGGGCGAGGUCAUUGCGGUGGACUCGGGCAUUGCGAGCGCUCGGGGCUCGGCUUGCUCGAUGGAGUGGACAGCGGCGGAGCUCCUGGACACGGUGAGAGGACGCACGGGCGGCGGGGAGCACGGCUACGACGAAGGCACGGCGAUGGUGGCGUCGGCCAUGGCGGGGGAGCGCGAGGGGGAGGAGCUGGAGAGGAGAGGGGGUGUCUGGGGGGUUCGGGGGAGCGAGGGAGGCCGGUCCACGACGUCACCGGGCGCGGGGAACGGCGAGGCGGCGAGCAGGUGCGUGGCGCACGCUGCGGUCGCCGUCGGGCACCUGCCUGCCUGCCUGGCCGGCAAGCAGCUCGCUGGAGCGGCGCUGGGCUGGGCCGGCAGGUGGGCCAGGAGCAGGCGCCAGGUAAGCUUUUUCCAUUUCUUUCUGUUUUCUGUUGUUUUUUUUACUUCUGCAACUUUGUUGAAUUAAAUAAAAUACUUAGGCUACUCCUAAAAUCACCAAACUACUCCUGGUCCAUAGUUGGAUUAUUUCCAACAUGAAACAUUUUAGCUUGGAGAUAUUUGAGCAUUUAAAUAUUUUAUAUAAUUUUAAAUGCCCAAAUUCAAAUAUUUAUGAUUUAAUUCAAAAACCCUAAGAUGGCCUAGGAAAAUGUGCAUCACUUUUGGCAGAGGUUCUGAACCAAGACAAAAAUGAUGGCCAUUUUAGAAGGGCAUUUCAGGUUCAUUGAAAAAGUUUUUAGUAAACCCUAGUUGGUUUCAGAGGGGACUGGGGGUUCUGUCAUCCCCAUUUCAGGUUUCUGAUGAAAGAGUAAACAUGAUGCAACACUCUAAUGCAUGGCUAACUAGGAUGUGACAAUACGGGCGUGGGUAACCCAACCGCGCCAUCAAUUGCGGUGCUUGGGGGAUAAGCGAGUUUUACCAGGCAAGUGGGGACGCUUAGUUUCAUCCGCCCAUAUAAAGGGAUAAGGAUUCACCUUUCUAUCCACGCCUUCUUCCUCCCUUACCCAUCCGUUUUCGCACACUCGAGCUCUAGCGCCCAAGUCCGCACUUCCCACCUCGAGCUUCUCCAAUCAUGUCCGGAGCGGGAGGCAGGUGGAUGGUCUCCUCCGUCACGGAGGGAGACAUCAAGAAGCUGCGCAGAGCCAGAUACCUAACCGCGAACAUCGCGCAUCGGCUGCCCGCCGCGGGGCAGAUCGUCCCUACCCCGGAACCUCACGAGAGGGUAGUUUUCCUUCACCACUUCCUCCACGGACUAGGGUUUCCCCUCCAUCCAUUCGUCCAUGGUCUCAUGUUCUACUACGGGCUGGACUUUCAUGAUCUGGCCCCGAACUUCAUCCUCAACAUUUCGGCGUUCAUCGUCAUGUGUGAGGCUUUCCUCCGCAUCCGGCCCCACUUCGGCCUGUGGUUAAAGACCUUCAAUAUCAAGCCGCAGGUGGUACGAGGCCAACAAGCAGAAUGCGGGGGAGCCAUGGUGGGCAAGAUGCCCAACGUCAUAUGGCUCGAAGGCUCCUUCGUGGAGACAAUAAAGGGAUGGCAGUCGGCGUGGUUUUAUAUCACCGAGCCGCGCGACGCCAAAUGGGCGACAGCCCCCGAGUUUCGAUACGGAUUCCCUACACGGCUCACUUCCUGGAAAGAGAAGGGCAUGUCGUGGGGUUCAUCGGUGGAGCUGGACGGACUCCAGAAAUGUAUCCGGAGUAUGGCAAGCAAGAAGCUCAUGCUUGUCAACAUAGUCCAAGUUAUGCUCAUCCACCGGAUCCUCCCAUGUCAACAACGGGAUUUUACCUUAUGUGAGUUCGACCCGGCCCAGCACCAGACUCUGAGCGAGCUCUUUGAUACGACGCACAAGGACGUCUGGAAGGAGCUGUUCAAGGGCGCCGAGGUCCCUCCUUCUCUCGCCAAGGAUCGUGGACUAAGCGCAAAGCGCCUAGCGCGUUCGGUGAGUUCAAUACGUCCCGUAAGACAUUUAUUUUUCCUAGCUUAAUUACGUGCGGGGUCUAAUCUCCAGGCCUUUGACAGGACUGGGUGGAGAUGUCGGGGCAGAUUGACUGUCCGGCCCCUUUGCCCGAAGAUACUGCGGGCGCUCUCCUGACGGAGAUGCUGACUCCGGCUCCUUACAAGGUGCCCGAGAAGACCAAGAAGGCCAAGGGAACCCGAAAGAGUUCCCGGCGCCAGGUGUUAUCGGACUCAUCGUCCGAUAACUCUGCAGAACACUCCUCCCCCGAAGGCGAGGAAGAAGAAGAAGAUGCUCCCUGAGGGAGUCCUGGAUUAGGGGGUGUUCGAGUAGCCGGACUAUACCUUCAGCCGGACUCCUGGACUAUGAAGAUACAAGAUUGAAGACUUUGUCCCGUGUCCGGAUGGGACUUUCCUUGGCGUGGAAGGCAAGCUUGGCGAUGCGGAUAUUCAAGAUCUCCUACCAUUGUAACCGACUCUAUGUAACCCUAACCCUAUCCGGUGUCUAUAUAAACCGGAGGGUUGUAGUCCGUAGGCAAUCAACUCCAUAUACAACAAUCAUACCGUAGGCUAGCUUCUAGGGUUUAGCCUCCUUGAUCUCGUGGUAGAUCUACUCUUGUACUACCCAUAUCAUCAAUAUUAAUCAAGCAGGACGUAGGGUUUUACCUCCAUCAAGAGGGCCCGAACCUGGGUAAAACAUCGUGUUCCCUGCCUCAUGUUACCAUCCGGCCUAGACGCACAGUUCGGGAUCCCCUACCCGAGAUCCACCGAUUUUGACACCGACAUUGGUGCUUUCGUUGAGAGUUCCUCUGUGUUGUCGCCUUUAGGCCCGAUGGCUCCUUUGAUCAUCAACAACGAUGCGGUCCAGGGUGAGAGUUUGCUCCCCGGACAGAUCUUCGUCUUCGGCGGCUUCGCUCUGCGGGCCAAUUCGCUCGGCCACCUGGAGCAGAUCGAAAGCUACGCCCCUGGCCAUCAAGUCAGGUUUGGAAGCUUAAACUACACGGCUGACAUCCGCGGAGACUCGAUCUUCGACGGGCUCGAGCCACGGCCAAGCGCGCCGCACUAUCUCGAGGGGCAUGAUCUAGCUCUGCCCCCGGACAGUGUCCUGGAGGCCGCACACGCAUCGGUUCUGACCCCUAACUCGGAGCCUAUUGCACCAAUCGAGGAUGAGCGGUUGGACGUCACCUCGGGGGCUACGAUCUCGAAAGCGAUCGAGCCGAACGCUAGCCCCGCACUCUGCACGACCCGUGACUCCGAGGAUCUGGACUCCUCGCCGGACUCCGAACCCCCCGCGCCCCUGCCAAUCGAAUCCGAUUGGGCGCCGAUAAUGGAGUUCACCGCCGCAGACAUCUUUCAGCAUUCGCCUUUUGGCGACAUCUUGAAUUCUCUUAAGUCUCUCUCUUUAUCAGGAGAGCCCUGGCCGGACUACGGUCAGCGAGGGUGGGAUACGGACGAUGAGGAAAUUCAAAGCCCACCCACCACCCACUUUGUAGCCACUGUCGACGAUCUAACCGACAUGCUUGACUUCAGCUCCAAAGACAUCGACGGCAUGGACGACGAUGUAGGAGACGAAUAGGAACCAGCACUUGUAGGGCGCUGGAAGGCCACCUCGUCUUAUGACAUAUAUAUGGUGGAUACUCCAAAAGAUGGAGAUGGCGAUGGAACAGUGGGGGAUGACGCCCCCAAGAAACAGCCAAAGCGCCGGCGUCAGCGGCGCCGCUCUAAAUCCCGCCAAAGCAAAAAUGGUGAUUCCGUCACGGGAGAUAAUACUACCCCGGACAGAGCCGAAGAACACCCACCUCAGCAAGAUUCGGCACAGGAAGAUGGAGAAGCCAGCCCUCAUGAGAGAGCGGCAGACCGAGAGGUCGAGGAUGAUAACUAUACGCCUCCCUCCGAAGACGAGGCAAGCCUCGAUGACAACAAAUUCGUCAUACCAUCAGACCCCGCUGAACAAGAGCGUUUUAAACGCAGGCUUUUAGCCACGGCAAGCAGCCUCAAGAAAAAGCAGCAACAGCUUAGAGCUGCCCAAGAUUUGCUAGUUGACAGAUGGACUGAAGUCCUUGCAGUCGAAGAGUAUGAACGCGAACGCCCCUCCAAGAGUUACCCGAAGCGCAGGCCGCUACCCCGAUAAAAGGAGGAAGCACCUACAUCACCAGCGCAUGACAUGGCAGACCGGCCACCUCGCGGCUGCGACAGAGAGGCCUCUCGGCCCUCCACCCAAGCCAUGCCCUGACGCCACUCAACUAAGGCAUGGGAAAAUGCGCCCGACCUGCGAGACAUACUGGAGGAUAAGGCAAGACAAACAAGAUUGAUCUACGGAUCGUGCAGGCGCCCUACGGCAUGUGACAAUGAUCUUCACUCCGGAUACAACAAAUUCGUCCGGGCCGAACACAACAGACAUAGCUCUUCCGAGUUGCAUCGUGAUAUAGCCCAGUACAGAGGCGCCGCACACCCGCUAUGCUUCACGAAUGAAGUAAUGGAUCAUAAAAUCCCAGAGGGUUUCAAACCCGUAAACAUCGAAUCAUACGAUGGCACAACAGAUCCGACGGUAUGGAUCAAGGAUUAUCUCCUUCACAUCCACAUGGCACGCGGCAAUGAUCUACACGCCAUCAAAUACCUCCCGCUCAAACUUAAAGGACCGGCCCGGCAUUGGCUUAACAGCUUGCCAGCAGACUCAAUCGGUUCUUGGGAGGACCUGGAAGCCGCAUUCCUCGACAACUUCCAGGGCACUUACAUGCGACCGCCGGAUGCCGACGACUUAAGCCACAUAAUUCAGCAGCCAGAGGAAUCGGCCAGACAAUUCUGGACACGGUUCCUAACAAAGAAAAACCAGAUAGUCGACUGUCCGGACGCAGAGGCCCUAGCAGCCUUCAAGCAUAACAUCCACGACGAGUGGCUUUCCCAACACCUCGGACAGGAAAAGCCGAAAUCCAUGGCAGCCCUCACGACACUCAUGACCCGCUUUUGCGCGGGAGAAGACAGCUGGUUAGCUCGCAAUAACAACUUAUCAAAGAACCCUGGUAAUUCGGAUACCAAGGACAAAAGUGGCAGGACACGUCAGAAUAAGCAAAAACGCCGCGUUAACAGCGACAGCAAUGAAGACACAGCAGUCAAUGCCGGAUUCAAAGGCUAUAAAUCCGGUCAGCGGAAAAAGGCAUUCAAAAAGAAUACUCAGGGCCCGUCCAAUUUGGACCGAAUACUCGAUCGCUUGUGCCAGAUACAUGGCACCCCCAAAAGGCUAGCCAAUCACACUAACAGGGAUUGUUGGGUGUUCAAGCAGGCAGGCAAGUUAAGGGCCGAAAACAGAGACAAGGGGCUGCACAGCGAUGACGAGGAGCCCAAGCCGCCGAACAACAAUGGACAGAAGGGCUUUCCCCCACAAGUGCGGACGGUGAACAUGAUAUACGCAACCCACAUUCCCAAGCGGGAGCGGAAGCGUGUGCUACGAGACAUAUACGCGAUGGAGCCAGUCGCCCCAAAGUUCAACCCAUGGUCCUCCUGCCCGAUCACUUUUGAUCGAAGGGACCAUCCCACUAGCAUCCGUCAUGGCGGCUUCGCCGCAUUGGUUCUCGACCCAAUCAUCGACGGAUUUCAUCUCACAAGAGUCCUCAUGGAUGGUGGCAAUAGCCUGAACCUGCUUUAUCAGGAUACAGUGCGGAAAAUGGGCAUAGAUCCCUCAAGGAUUAAGCCCACAAGAAUGACCUUUAAAGGCGUUAUACCAGGUGUAGAAGCCAACUGUACAGGCUCAGUAACACUUGACGUGGUCUUCGGAUCCCCGGACAAUUUCCGAAGCGAAGAGUUAAUCUUCGAUAUAGUCCCGUUUCGCAGUGGCUAUCACGCCCUGCUCGGAUGAACCGCAUUCGCAAAGUUCAAUGCGGUGCCACACUACGCAUAUCUCAAGCUCAAGAUGCCAGGCCCUCGAGGAGUAAUUACGGUCAAUAGAAACACCGAACGCUCCCUCCGUACGAAGGAGCAUACGGCGGCUCUCGCAGCGGAGGUACAAAGUAGCCUUCUCAGGCAAUUCUCCAGUCCGGCCAUUAAAAAGCCAGACACUGCCAAGCGCGCCCGGAGUAACCCACAGCAGGACCGCCUGGCACACUCUGAGCAAGCGUAGCAAUGCAGCCCCAACCCCAGCUUUCGCGACAUAGCGAAACCAGUACCUCGCAUACAUAACUACGCCCUUGAAAUACCACGGGCACAGGGGAAGGGGCACAAUAACAGCACGCCCAAAAGACGGCUUAAAACAUACUAGGGGCUGCCGGAUUCUUUUUUUAAUUUUUUCUUACUUUCAGGACUCCAUACUUCAGACGACCUGUUCGGCAAUUCGACUGCCGCACAAAUGAUGCAAGAUCCAGGGAGGCAGACAAGCCAUGCCGCAUUAUGAAACUCCUAGGUGGUCUCUGUUACGAGCAGUAUACCUGUUUUAAAUACAAUUCCGCGGCCUGCCCCUGGUCAGGACAUGUUCAAUAGUGUAGGAUCUAGAAGUAGAUGUGUCUAGAGGGGGGUGAUUUGACACAUAAUGCUCAAGUUGCAAUUUUUUAAGCUUUUUCGGUUUAAGUGGAGUUUAGGCACAAUAUCAACACACACAAUACAUAUCAAGCAAGCAUGCAAAGAGUAUAUAGGCAGCGGAAAGUAAAGCAUGGAACUUGCAAGAAUGUAAAGGGAAGGGUUUGGAGAGAUCAAACGCAAUUGGAGACACAGAUGUUUUUCCCGUGGUUCGAAUAGGUGGUGCUAUCCUACAUCCACGUUGAUGGAGACUUCAACCCACGAAGGGUAACGGUUGCGCGAGUCCACACAGGGCUCCACCCAAGGGUAACGGUUGCACGAGUCCACACAGGGCUCCACCCACGAAGGGUCCACGAAGAAGCAACCACCCACAAAGGGUCCACGAAGAAGCAACCUUGUCUAUCCCACCAUGGCCAUCGCCCACACAGGACUUGCCUCACUAGCGGUAGAUCUUCACGAAGUAGGUGAUCUCCUUGCCCUUACAAACUCCUUGGUUCAACUCCACAAUCUUGUCGGAGGCUCCCAAGUGACACCUAGCCAAUCUAGGAGACACCACUCUCCAAGAAGUAACAAAUGGUGUGCAGGUAAUGAACUCCUUGCUCUUGUGCUUCAAAUGAUAGUCUCCCCAACACUCAACUCUCUCUCAUAGGAUUUGGAUUUGGUGGAAAGAAGAUUUAAGUGGAAAGCAACUUGGGAAAGGCUAGAGAUCAAGAUUCAUAUGGUAGGAAUGGAAUAUCUUGGUCUCAACACAUGAGUAGGUGGUUCUCUCUCAGAACAUAUGAGUUGGAAUGGUGUAUGCGUUCUGAUGGCUCUCUCUUCCAAUGAAGAGGAGGUGGAGGGGUAUAUAUAGCCUCCACACAAAAUCCAACCAUUACACACAGUUUUCCAAUCUCGGUGGGACCGAAUCAACAAACUCGGUCGGACCGAAAAUGUAAACCUAGUGACCGUUAGAGAUUUCGGUGGGACCGACUGGAUCAACUCGGUGGGACCGAUGUGCUAGAGUUAGGGUAAAUCCAAAACUCGGUUUGACCGAUUACUCAAACUCGGUGAGACCGAAUUUGGUAAUUAGCUAACCAGAGAGUUGGUCAGGCAAACUCGAUGGGACCGAUUUGCUCUUUCGGUGAUACCGAGUGGAACUCGGUGAGACCAAAAAGUUACAAAGGGGAAACACUGAGUUUACAUUGCAAUCUCGAUGGGACUGAUUCGCUCUUUCGGUGAGACCGAAAAGUUACGAAAGGGAAACAGAGAGUUUGCAAUCCCAUCUCGGUGAGACCGAGAUCCUUAUCGAUAGAACCGAAUUGCUAGGGUUUGGCAGUGGCUAAUGACAAGUGAAACUCGGUGGCGCCGGAUAGGAAGAAUCGGUAGGACCGAGUUUGACUUAGGGUUUAGGUCAUAUGUGGAAGUGGGAAAGUAGCUGAGGAUUUUGGAGCAUAUCAUUAAGCACAUGAAGCAAGAGGCUCAUUAAGCAACACCUCAUCCCUCCUUGAUAGUAUUGGCUUUUCCUAUGGACUCAAUGUGAUCUUGGAUCACUAAAAUGUAAAAUGAAGAGUCUUGAGCUUGAAGCUUUAGCCAAUCCUUUGUCCUUAGCAUCUUGAAGGAGUUCCCACAACCUUUAGUCCAUGCCACUCCAUUGUUGGACUUAUCUGAAACAUGCUAGAUAGAAAUGUUAGUCCAACAAGAGAUAUGUUGUCAUCAAUUAUCAAAACCACCUAGGGAGCACUUGUGCUUUCAAUCUCACCCUUUUUGGUAAUUAAUGGCAACAUACAUCAAAGCUUUAGAUAAAGAUAUAAAGAACAGUAAGUAAAGCUUUGGAAGGACAUGUAACGAGCAUAGGCUCCCCCUUCAUGUAUGCACUCAUGUAAAUAUGAAACAUAGAGGCAUGUGAGAGCAUAACCAUGACAGAGUAGGCAAUGUGUUACAUGCAUCUUGGCCAUAUGCAUCAGAGCAAAAGAUUAUCAAGGAAAAUACCUUCAUGCUCAUGAGUCCUUCUUGCAAACAGUAUGUACAUAAGCAAGAACUCCUCAUACUCAUGAUUUUGAUGCAUAUACUUACCUUGUGGUCUUGAGUUGGCUUAGGAUGGAAUGGACCUGCACAAACAAGGUUAUAUAACACAGGUACGCCCACUAGCCAGAGCAAACAAAAGAAACCACAAGAAUACCAAGACUGGGAUGACAUGUAGAGAGUGAGUACAAGGUACCACAUUGAAUUCAACAUGUCCCCAAGAAUAAAGAUAUGCAAUGAAUUUGACAGAUUUCUUUUCCUUAGGUGUCUUGCUCCCCUGAAUCGUACAUGGGAUAUUGGGAGAAGAUAGGAAACAGAAAAUCAGAGCUGAAAGAUAUGAAUAGAACUUAAUUCAAAUGAGUUCAUAUGAACAUGUCUUUCCCCCAAAAAGACAUGUGGCAUCUCUCCUCUUGAACAUCAAGCAUCUGGGAUCCUUGAGUAUUCUCUCCCCCUUAGUACUUUCUCCUUUGUAGGUGAUAAGCUUUUGAUGUGAUAAGCUUUGAUGUGAUCUCUCUCUCCCCCUUUGACAUCAAUUUCCAAGAAGGUUUUUCCUGGAAUCCGUCGAAUAGGUUUGGUCCUUGAGAUUCAGUACAAAGCAGGGAAUAAAACUGUGAUGCUUGUAGAGGACAAGAUUCAUUGAGUGGAGCCGGAUCAGAAGAAAUAUAGAAUAUGUGGCAAACUGUUUUUCCUGUUGCAAAAUCGGUGGCACCGAGUGGCAUGUUUCGGUAGUACCGAAGGGAUUCGGUUGGACCGAAAAUGGCAACUCGGUGAAGCCGAGUUCAUCACAGAGAAAAACACUUGUCACCUCAGCUCACUAGUCAAGUAAGAUCUCACAAAGAUUUGCAAUGAAUUUGAUGCAGAAAUAUGCAGAACAAGAACCAAAAAAAGAAAAGAGAGAAAGUUUCUAGAUGAAGUUUUUGUUUUUGUUUUGUUUGAAAAAGAAGGAAACAAAUAUGCAAGGGACAAAUGCAAUAACUCAGAAAAGAACACAAGAGAACUUCAUCUAGAAUUGGGCGGUGACAUAGUCACCUAUGUUAGAGUAUAUUGACUUAGGAGUCAAGUGAGAACACUUGAUCAUAGGUCAAACUCAUCGUUUAAGCUCAAAAUGGGGUUACCAUUUUUCGUUUAAGCAUCUUGAUGUAUUCACACCUUGUUGAGUUGCUUUGACUCAUGUCUUGGAGUAAAGCUUCUCUAAGAUGGAAUAACAUACCUUGGGUGGUGGUGUGGUUCUUGCUCAUGUAGUUGAACUUGUGUGGGUGCUCAAGGUUGAUGUAGUUCAUCAAGAGUUGGGAGCACCACUUGGAGUUUGAGUUCAUCUACCUACAUGGGUUAGUUCUUGCAAGGAAGAGCACUUGCGUAUCCAAAAAUGACAAUCAUGAAGCUUAACAUAGAAUUUGUCAAAGGAUAUGUUUGAGUGGUUUUGUGCUUCCCUGUCUUCAACCACUAUUGUGUAGAGUCUUGGUGAUGUAGAGAUUGCUCAAGGUAUGAGUGAGUCGCAAUCUCAUGGAAUUAGAUUCAACCAAGAACCUACAUGGGUUAGACAACAUGCAAGGUGCAAAUAUAUCCAAGACAUAAGAUAGUUAUCAUAAAAGAUAUAUCAUGGAUUAGUCAUAAGCUAAUGUCUUGCAUGUAUCCAAUGGAGUUUCUACUCCAAGUUCGAAGCAUCAAUGAUGUUCAAUUCUCCUCUCAACCUGCAAAACACUUUCUCAUCAAGUGGUUUAGUAAAUAUAUCCGUUAAUUGCUUGUCGGUGCGAACAUUCUUAAGAUUGAUGUCACCUUUAGCAACAUGAUCUCGAAUGAAAUGAUGAUGAACUUCAAUAUGCUUAGUUCGAGAAUGUUGUACAGGAUUAUGACCAAUUUUGAUAGCACUUUCAUUGUCACAAAGCAGUGGAACAUGUUUCACAUAAAUCCCAUAAUCUUUAAGAGUUUGGGUCAUCCAAAGUAAUUGAGCGCAACAUGAACCAGCGGCAAUGUAUUCCGCUUCGGCGGUGGAUAAGGAUACCGAGUUUUGUUUCUUGGAAGACCAAGACACAAGAGAUCUGCCAAGAAAUUGACAAGUACCCGAAGUGGACUUUCUGUCAACCUUGUCUCUGGCAUAAUCCGAGUCAGAAUAGCCAACAAGAUCAAAAGAAGACCUCUUAGGAUACCAAAUGCCAAAGUUUGGUGUAUGGAUUAAAUAUCUCACUAUCCUUUUCACAGCCUUAAGAUGACAAUCUUUAGGAGCAGCUUGAUAUCGUGCACACAUGCACACACUUAGCAUAAUAUCGGGACAUGAAGCACAUAGGUAUAACAAUGAACCAAUCAUAGAGUGAUAAACCUUUUGAUCAACAAGUUCACCAUCUUUGGACAAAUCAUUAUGUCCACUAGUAGGCAUGGGUGUAGACAUACCUUUGCAUUCUUGCAUAUUGAACUUCUUGAAUAAGUCCUUGGUGUACUUUGUUUGAGAGACAAAUGUACCUUCCUUAGUUUGCUUGAUUUGCAACCCGAGAAAGAAUUUGAGUUCACUCAUCAUAGACAUCUCAAACUUCUCUGACAUUAGCUUUCCAAACUUUUCACUAAAGAGAGGGUUAGUUGAACCAAAUAUGAUAUCAUCAACAUAAAUUUGGCAUACAAAUAGUUCUCCAUUAACCCUUUUAGUAAAAAGAGUAGAAUCAAUUUUACCAAUUUCAAAACCACUUGUAGUAAGGAACUUGGUCAAGCAUUUAUACCAUGCUCUAGGAGCUUGUUUAAGACCAUAAAGAGCUUUGUGAAGUUUGUAAACAUGAUUUGGUUUCUUAGGAUUGACAAAGCCGGGAGGUUGUUUGACAUAAACUUCCUCCUCUAUUUCUCCAUUUAGAAAAGCACUUUUAAUGUCCAUUUGGUACAAGGUGAUAUUAUGGUGAUUAGCAUAGGCAAGUAAGAUGCGAAUGGACUCACGUCUAGCAACGGGAGCAUACGUCUCACCAUAGUCCAUACCUUCGACUUGUGUGUACCCUUGGGCGACGAGACGUGCUUUGUUGCGAACCACUUGUCCAUCUUCAUCUUGCUUGUUGCGAAACACCCAUUUGGUACCAAUGAUGUUGUGGUUGUUGUCAGGCUUCUCAACCAAUGUCCAAACUUGGUUUCUCUCAAAAUUAUGUAUCUCUUCAUGCAUAGCGUUUAUCCAAUCCGGAUCUUCCAAUGCUUCUUCAACCUUCAUUGGUUGAAUGCUAGAGAUGAAUGAAUAGUUUUCACAAAAGUUAGCCAAACGAGUUUUUGAGCGAGUGAUUCUCCCGGUUUGUAUAUCAUUGAGGAUUUGCUCGACGGGAUGAUCUUUGGCAAUUCUUGCUCGAACUCGUGAGAGCUUUUGCUUGGGUCUUCGUUGAACAUCUUCUUCAUCUUGGCCUUCUUCAUUGUUGAUGUCGUCGUUCUCUUGUCGUGGUGGAGAAGGAGGUUGUUGAUGUUCAUCUUGACGUACUUCCUCGUUUUCUUCAUCUUGGUGUGUCCCACUUGUGGAUGCUUCCGUGUCGAUUCUUGGUUCACCUUGUCGUGAAGUAGAAGCUUCCACUUGGACGGAUGAAGUACUCUCCUUCACCUCCGUUGGACGAAUUUUGCCGAUGGACAAGUCUUGAAUUACUUCUGAAGAGUCUUUGUCUCCUACAUCAAUUGGCAAUUGCUCUACUUGUGAGCCAUUAGAUUCAUCAAACUUCACAUCUACCGUCUCUUCAACCUUUCGGGUGAAAUUGUUGUAGACACGGUAAGUGUGAGAGUUUGAGCCAUAACCAAGUAGAAAACCUUCAUGAGUUUUAGGAGCAAACUUUGAACGACGAUGCUUAUCAAGAAUGUAGCACUUUGAGCCGAAUACUCGAAAGUAUCCAACUUGGGGUUUGUUACCGGUGAGAAGCUCGUAUGCCGUCUUGCCGAGUAGCUUGUGAAGAUAUAAGCGAUUUGUUGCGUGACAAGCUAUCUCAACCGCUUCUGCCCAAAAGUGCUUUGGCGUCUUGUAUUCAUCAAGCAUCGUUCUUGCCAUUUCGAUGAGCGUCCGGUUCUUCCUCUCAACAACUCCAUUUUGUUGAGGUGUGUACAUAGCCGAGAACUCGUGUGAAAUCCCUUCUUCGUCAAGAAAGGUGUCCACAUUUGCAUUCUUGAACUCCGUUCCGUUGUCACUCCGAACCUUCUUGAUCUUCACAUCAAACUGAUUUUGGGCCUUCCUAGCGAAGUUUCUGAAGAUCUUCUGGACCUGCGACUUGUCAUUAAGAAAGAACACCCACGUAAAUCUUGAAAAGUCAUCAACUAUAACUAGACCAAAAGAAUUUCCACCGAGACUCUUGUAGGCGUUGGGACCAAAAAGAUCCAUGUGAAGUAGCUCGAGUGGCCUCCUUGUGGUCAUGAUGUUCUUCACAGGAUGUCUUCCUCCAACCUGUUUACCUGCUUGACAAGCACUGCAAAGUCUAUCCUUAUCAAAUAUGACAUUGUUAACUCCAAGGAUAUGAUUUCCUUUAAUAAGCUUGUCAAGGUUUCUCAUGCCAAUGUGACCUAGUCGUCUAUGCCACAACCAACCUUUUGAGGAUUUAGCAACAAAGCAAGUUUUAGGUUGUGCCUUUUUAAAGAAAUCGACAAUGUAAAGAUCACCUCUACGCAUACCCGUAAAGACCAUUUUAUGAUUGUCUCGAUGAAAUACUUGGCAAUCUACCUCAGUAAAUAGGACAUUCAAACCGAAAUCAGCAAGUCUAGAUACUGAAAGUAAGUUGUAGCCAAGAGAUUCAACGAGCAUGACAUUUUGAAUGGAACUAUAAUGUGAGAUGGCCACCUUACCAAGGCCAACCACUUUACCCUUUGAAUUAUCACCAAAGGUGACAUAUUUUCGAGGGACGUUGUUUUCAGCAAGCUCACGAAACAUCUCUUCAUCUCCGGUCAUAUGAUCAGUACAUCCACUAUCAAGAACCCAUUCCUUUCCUCCUGAUUCAUAUCCCCGAAGAUUUGCCAUAAGACCAAAAUGUCUCAUUGCAUCAUCAAGAUCGAAGUCACUAUCAUCAUCAUCAUAAUAUUCAUGUUCAUCAUGAUCUUGUGACUCAUCAUUUCCUAGAGAGGGUAAUUCAUUAGAUAAAUGAUCAAAGUGGUUACUUUUAUGAAUUCUUAUAGCUUUGAAUAUGAUAUCAUUAAUGAUUCCAACAUCUCCUUUAGCAUGCUUAAGAUUGGCAAGUUCAAAAAGACAUUUACCAAAACUAGGAUCACUAGAGUUCAUCUUACUCAAGGCAAUAGAUUUAUGGAGAAUUUCAUCCAAAGUUUUCAAGGAAUAAUCGGGAAAUCGUUCCUCAAGAAAUUUCCAUAUGGUAUAGGCACAAUUGUGAGUAGGCAAACUAGCAAUCAAAUUUUUGGGCAAUCCUCUGAUGAUGAGCUCAAUAGUUCUAAGAUUGUGAAUCAUGUCAAUAUCUUCAUCUAGGGUAGGAUGCAAAGGAUCAAUAUGAGGUGCACAAGGGCUAGCAAUAUACUUGUUCAAAUGAUAUUGAUUGAAGAUUACAAGCAUCUCAUUUUUCCACUCAUGGAAAUACUCUCCAUCAAGAAUAGGCACUCUAUGUCUAAGACUCCCUAAUGUAGACACAUCCAUCUUCCUCCAAUGGUGAUUAAACCAAGGCAAUGGAGACCAAAGCUCUGAUACCACUUGUAGGAUCUAGAAGUAGAUGUGUCUAGAGGGGGGUGAUUUGACACAUAAUGCUCAAGUUGCAAUUUUUUAAGCUUUUUCGGUUUAAGUGGAGUUUAGGCACAAUUUCAACACACACAAUACAUAUCAAGCAAGCAUGCAAAGAGUAUAUAUGCAGCGGAAAGUAAAGCAUGCAACUUGCAAGAAUGUAAAGGGAAUGGUUUGGAGAGAUCAAACGCAAUUGGAGACACGGAUGUUUUUCCCGUGGUUCGGAUAGGUGGUGCUAUCCUACAUCCACGUUGAUGGAGACUUCAACCCACGAAGGGUAACGGUUGCGCGAGUCCACACAGGGCUCCACCCAAGGGUAACGGUUGCGCGAGUCCACACAAGGCUCCACCCACGAAGGGUCCACGAAGAAGCAACCACCCACAAAGGGUCCACGAAGAAGCAACCUUGUCUAUCCCACCAUGGCCAUCGCCCACACAGGACUUGCCUCACUAGCGGUAGAUCUUCACGAAGUAGGCAAUCUCCUUGCCCUUACAAACUCCUUGGUUCAACUCCACAAUCUUGUCGGAGGCUCCCAAGUGACACCUAGCCAAUCUAGGAGACACCACUCUCCAAGAAGUAACAAAUGGUGUGUAGGUAAUGAACUCCUUGCUCUUGUGCUUCAAAUGAUAGUCUCCCCAACACUCAACUCUCUCUCAUAGGAUUUGGAUUUGGUGGAAAGAAGAUUUAAGUGGAAAGCAACUUGGGAAAGGCUAGAGAUCAAGAUUCAUAUGGUAGGAAUGGAAUAUCUUGGUCUCAACACAUGAGUAGGUGGUUCUCUCUCAGAACAUAUGAGUUGGAAUGGUGUAUGCGUUCUGAUGGCUCUCUCUUCCAAUGAAGAGGAGGUGGAGGGGUAUAUAUAGCCUCCACACAAAAUCCAACCGUUACACACAGUUUUCCAAUCUCGGUGGGACCGAAUCAACAAACUCGGUCGGACCGAAAAUGUAAACCUAGUGACCGUUAGAGAUUUUGGUGGUACCGACUGGAUCAACUCGGUGGGACCGAUGUGCUAGGGUUAGGGUAAAUCCAAAACUCAGUUUGACCGAUUACUCAAACUCGGUGAGACCGAAUUUGGUAAUUAGCUAACCAGAGAGUUGGUCAGGCAAACUCGAUGGGACCGAUUUGCUCUUUCGGUGAGACCGAGUGGAACUCGGUGAGACCAAAAAGUUACAAAGGGGAAACACUGAGUUUACAUUGCAAUCUCGGUGGGACCGAUUCGCUCUUUCGGUGAGACCGAAAAGUUACGAAAGGGAAAUAGAGAGUUUGCAAUCCCAUCUCGGUGAGACCGAGAUCCUUAUCGAUAGAACCGAAUUGCUAGGGUUUGGCAGUGGCUAAUGACAAGUGAAACUCGGUGGCGCGAGAUAGGAAGAAUCGGUAGGACCGAGUUUGACUUAGGGUUUAGGUCAUAUGUGGAAGUGGGAAAGUAGCUGAGGAUUUUGGAGCAUAUCAUUAAGCACAUGAAGCAAGAGGCUCAUUAAGCAACACCUCAUCCCUCCUUGAUAGUAUUGGCUUUUCCUAUGGACUCAAUGUGAUCUUGGAUCACUAAAAUGUAAAAUGAAGAGUCUUGAGCAUGAAGCUUUAGCCAAUCCUUUGUCCUUAGCAUCUUGAAGGACUUCCCACAACCUUUAGUCCAUGCCACUCCAUUGUUUUACUUAUCUGAAACAUGCUAGAUAGAAAUGUUAGUCCAACAAGAGAUAUGUUGUCAUCAAUUAUCAAAACCACCUAGGGAGCACUUGUGCUUUCAAUCUCCCCCUUUUUGGUAAUUAAUGGCAACAUACAUCAAAGCUAGCCCCGCACUCUGCACGACCUGUGACUCCGAGGAUCUGGACUCCUCCCCGAACUCCGAACCCCCCGCGCCCCUGCCAAUCGAAUCCGAUUGGGCGCCGAUAAUGGAGUUCACCGCCGCAGACAUCUUUCAGCAUUCGCCUUUUGGCGACAUCUUGAAUUCUCUUAAGUCUCUCUCUUUAUCAGGAGAGCCCUGGCCGGACUACGGUCAGCGAGGGUGGGAUACGGACGAUGAGGAAAUUCAAAGCCCACCCACCACCCACUUUGUAGCCACUGUCGACGAUCUAACCGACAUGCUUGACUUCAGCUCCAAAGACAUCGACGGCAUGGACGACGAUGUAGGAGACGAAUAGGAACCAGCACCUGUAGGGCGCUGGAAGGCCACCUCGUCAUAUGACAUAUAUAUGGUGGAUACUCCAAAAGAUGGAGAUGGCGAUGGAACAGUGGGGGAUGACGCCCCCAAGAAACAGCCAAAGCGCUGCCGUCAGCGGCGCCGCUCUAAAUCCCGCCAAAGCAAAAAUGGUGAUUCCGGCACGGGAGAUAAUACUACCCCGGACAGAGCCGAAGAACACCCACCUCAGCAAGAUUCGGCACAGGAAGAUGGAGAAGCCAGCCCUCAUGAGAGAGCGGUAGACCGAGAGGCCGAAGAUGAUAACUAUACGCCUCCCUCCGAAGACGAGGCAAGCCUCGAUGACGACAAAUUUGUCAUACCAUCAGACCCCGCCGAACAAGAGCGUUUUAAACGCAGGCUUUUAGCCACGGCAAGCAGCCUCAAGAGAAAGCAGCAACAACUUAGAGUUGCCCAAGAUUUGCUAGUUGACAGAUGGAUUGAAGUCCUUGCAGUCGAAGAGUAUGAACUCGAACGCCCCUCCAAGAGUUACCCAAAGCGCAGGCCGCUACCCCGAUCAAAGGAGGAAGCACCUACAUCACCAGCGCAUGACAUGGCAGACCGGCCACCUCGUGGCUGCGAUAGAGAGGCCUCUCGGCCCUCCACCCAAGCCAUGCCCCGACGCCACUCAACUAAGGCACGGGAAAAUGCGCCCGACCUGCGAGACAUACUGGAGGAUAAGGCAAGACAAACAAGAUCGAUCUACGGAUCGCGCAGGCGCCCUACGGCAUGUGACAGUGAUCUUCACUCCGGAUACAACAAAUCUGGCCGGGCCGAACACAACAGACAUAGCUCUUCCGAGUUGCGUCGUGAUAUAGCCCAGUACAGAGGCGCCGCACACCCGCUAUGCUUCACGAAUGAAGUAAUGGAUCAUAAAAUCCAAGAGGGUUUCAAACCCGUAAACAUCGAAUCAUACGAUGGCACAACAGAUCCGACGGUAUGGAUCGAGGAUUAUCUCCUUCACAUCCACAUGGCACGUGGCGAUGAUCUACACGCCAUCAAAUACCUCCCGCUCAAACUUAAAGGACCGGCCCGGCAUUGGCUUAACAGCUUGCCAACAGACUCAAUCGGUUCUUGGGAGGACCUGGAAGCCGCAUUCCUCGACAACUUCCAGGGCACUUACGUGCGACCGCCGGAUGCCGACGACUUAAGCCACAUAAUUCAGCAACCAGAGGAAUCGGCCAGACAAUUCUGGACACGGUUCCUAACAAAGAAAAACCAGAUAGUCGACUAUCCGGACGCAGAGGCCCUAGCAGCCUUCAAGCAUAACAUCCGCGAUGAGUGGCUUGCCCGGCACCUGGGACAGGAAAAGCCGAAAUCCAUGGCAGCCCUCACGACACUCAUGACCCGCUUUUGCGCGGGAGAAGACAGCUGGUUAGCUCGCAGUAACAACUUAUCAAAGAACCCUGGUAAUUCGGAUACCAAGGACAAAAUUGGCAGGACACGUCGGAAUAAGCAAAAACGCCGUGUUAACAGCGACAGCAAUGAAGACACAACAGUCAAUGCCGGAUUCAAAGGCUAUAAAUCCGGUCAGCGGAAAAAGCCAUUCAAAAAGAAUACUCAGGGCCCGUCCAGUUUGGACCGAAUACUCGAUUGCUUGUGCCAGAUACAUGGCACCCCCGAAAGGCCAGCCAAUCACACUAACAGGGAUUGUUGGGUGUUCAAGCAGGCAGGCAAGUUAAGGGCCGAAAACAGAGACAAGGGGCUGCACAGCGAUGACGAGGAGCCCAAGCCGCCGAACAACAAUGGACAGAAGGGCUUUCCCCCACAAGUGCGGAUGGUGAACAUGAUAUACGCAACCCACAUUCCCAAGCGGGAGCGGAAGCGUGUGCUACGGGACAUAUACGCGAUGGAGCCAGUCGCCCCAAAGUUCAACCCAUGGUCCUCCUGCCCGAUCACUUUUGAUCGAAGGGACCAUCCCACUAGCAUCCGUCAUGGCGGCUUCGCCGCAUUGGUUCUCGACCCAAUCAUCGACGGAUUUCAUCUCACAAGAGUCCUCAUGGACGGCGGCAAUAGCCUAAACCUGCUUUAUGAGGAUACAGUGCGGAAAAUGGGCAUAGAUCCCUCAAGGAUUAAGCCCACAAGAAUGACCUUUAAAGGCGUUAUACCAGGUGUAGAAGCCAACUGUACAGGCUCAGUAACACUUGACGUGGUCUUCGGAUCCCCGGACAAUUUCCGAAGCGAAGAGUUAAUCUUCGAUAUAGUCCCAUUUCGCAGUGGCUAUCACGCCCUGCUCGGACGAACCGCAUUUGCAAAGUUCAAUGCGGUGCCGCACUACGCAUAUCUCAAGCUCAAGAUGCCAGGCCCUCGAGGAGUAAUUACGGUCAACGGAAACACCGAACGCUCCCUCCGUACGAAGGAGCAUACGGCGGCUCUCGUAGCGGAGGUACAAAGUAGCCUUCUCAGGCAAUUCUCCAGUCCGGCCAUUAAAAAUCCAUACACUGCCAAGCGCGCCCGGAGUAACCCACAGCAGGACCGCCUGGCACACUCUGAGCAAGCGUAGCAAUGCAGCCCCAACCCCAGCUUUUGCGACAUAGCAAAACCAGUACCUCGCGUACAUAACUACGCCCUUGAAAUACCACGGGCACAGGGGAAGGGGCACAAUAACGGCACGCCCAAAAGACGGCUUAAAACGUACUAGAGGCUGUCGGAUUCUUUUUUUAAUUUUUUCUUACUUUCAGGACUCCAUACUUUGGACGACCUGUUCGGCAAUUCGACUGCCGCACAAAUGAUGCAAGAUCCAGGGAGGCAGACAAGCCAUGCCGCAUUAUGGAACUCCCAGGUGGUCUCUGUUACGAGCAGUAUACCUGUUUUAAAUACAAUUCCGCGGCCUGCCCCUGGUCAGGACAUGUUCAAUAGUGUAGGAUCUAGAAGUAGAUGUGUCUAGAGGGGGUGAUUUGACACAUAAUGCUCAAGUUGCAAUUUUUUAAGCUUUUUCGGUUUAAGUGGAGUUUAGGCACAAUUUCAACACACACAAUACAUAUCAAGCAAGCAUGCAAAGAGUAUAUAGGCAGCGGAAAGUAAAGCAUGCAACUUGCAAGAAUGUAAAGGGAAGGGUUUGGAGAGAUCAAACGCAAUUGGAGACACGGAUGUUUUUCCCGUGGUUCGGAUAGGUGGUGCUAUCCUACAUCCACGUUGAUGGAGACUUCAACCCACGAAGGGUAACGGUUGUGCGAGUCCACACAGGGCUCCAACCAAGGGUAACGGUUGCGCGAGUCCACACAGGGCUCCACCCACGAAGGGUCCACGAAGAAGCAACCACCCACAAAGGGUCCACGAAGAAGCAACCUUGUCUAUCCCACCAUGGCCAUCGCCCACACAGGACUUGCCUCACUAGCGGUAGAUCUUCACGAAGUAGGCGAUCUCCUUGCCCUUACAAACUCCUUGGUUCAACUCCACAAUCUUGUCGGAGGCUCCCAAGUGACACCUAGCCAAUCUAGGAGACACCACUCUCCAAGAAGUAACAAAUGGUGUGUAGGUAAUGAACUCCUUGCUCUUGUGCUUCAAAUGAUAGUCUCCCCAAUACUCAACUCUCUCAUAGGAUUUGGAUUUGGUGGAAAGAAGUUUUAAGUGGAAAGCAACUUGGGAAAGGCUAGAGAUCAAGAUUCAUAUGGUAGGAAUGGAAUAUCUUGGUCUCAACACAUGAGUAGGUGGUUCUCUCUCAGAACAUAUGAGUUGGAAUGGUGUAUGCGUUCUGAUGGCUCUCUCUUCCAAUGAAGAGGAGGUGGAGGGGUAUAUAUAGCCUCCACACAAAAUCCAACCGUUACACACAGUUUUCCAAUCUCGGUGGGACCGAAUCAACAAACUCGGUCGGACCGAAAAUGUAAACCUAGUGACCGUUAGAGAUUUCGGUGGGACCGACUGGAUCAACUCGGUGGGACCGAUGUGCUAGGGUUAGGGUAAAUCCAAAACUCGGUUUGACUGAUUACUCAAACUCGGUGAGACCGAAUUUGGUAAUUAGCUAACCAGAGAGUUGGUCAGGCAAACUCGAUGGGACCGAUUUGCUCUUUCGGUGAGACCGAGUGGAACUCGGUGAGACCAAAAAGUUACAAAGGGGAAACACUGAGUUUACAUUGCAAUCUCGGUGGGACCGAUUCGCUCUUUCGGUGAGACCGAAAAGUUACGAAAGGGAAACAGAGAGUUUGCAAUCCCAUCUCGGUGAGACCGAGAUCCUUAUCGAUAGAACCGAAUUGCUAGGGUUUGGCAGUGGCUAAUGACAAGUGAAACUCGGUGGCGCCGGAUAGGAAGAAUCGGUAGGACCGAGUUUGACUUAGGGUUUAGGUCAUAUGUGGAAGUGGGAAAGUAGCUGAGGAUUUUGGAGCAUAUCAUUAAGCACAUGAAGCAAGAGGCUCAUUAAGCAACACCUCAUCCCUCCUUGAUAGUAUUGGCUUUUCCUAUGGACUCAAUGUGAUCUUGGAUCACUAAAAUGUAAAAUGAAGAGUCUUGAGCUUGAAGCUUUAGCCAAUCCUUUGUCCUUAGCAUCUUGAAGGAGUUCCCACAACCUUUAGUACAUGCCACUCCAUUGUUGGACUUAUCUGAAACAUGCUAGAUAGAAAUGUUAGUCCAACAAGAGAUAUGUUGUCAUCAAUUAUCAAAACCACCUAGGGAGCACUUGUGCUUUCAAAUAGUCCAAUAUCUUUUUGCUUAUCGCACUAUUUGUAUCGUUCGGCUUUGAUAAAUAGCCUCUCUAUAAACAAUGCAUAGCUUUUUGUCUAUUUUUUGCAUUAUCCUCUUUUCACAUAUAUGUUUAUUAAAUGACAUGAUUGCACCCGUACACCAUGGUACGGAAAACACGCCAGGGGCUUCAGUACCCCUCAUUAUGGUGUGAGAAGUCCGUACACUUUCACAAGUGCGGCACCCCGAACUUAUAGCACUUUAUGCAUCGGCUCCGAAUCAUGAUUUGGGUCAAUAGUUGGGUUUGCCCGGCUCCUAUGUUUUGGUGCCUUACGUUAUGCUAUAUCGGCUAAGGUAGCACUAGGAGAACCACUGCGAUUGUGCCCCGGUUCAGCUGGGUUAAGCACCUCAGUGGAGAAAGUUAAAGCUGACUGUCAUGAUGAGGCGAGAGACCGGUCGCUGUUCGAGAGGUUUUUCAAGUCCCUAAAUACUUAUGCCGCUUCGAGCGAGGAGCUGGCUUGCCCGGCCAAGGUGUGGAUAGCGCCCCGAACUCGGUCUUCCGAACUAGGGGCUUCGCCAAAAUUUAAAAUUAUAGAGUUCUAUGGCUAAGUGAGAGUGUUCAAGCAUUAUAGUCCGAUUGCCUGGUUCGUUGUGCUGAGCGCCUCCCUCGAAGGACCCAACUAUGGGAAAAAGAGCACUCAGGUUUAUCCCGAACACCCCAGCACUAGUGGCAUGGGGGCAGAAGCCGACGACUGGCCAUCUCUCAAUUUUUUGAUAAACGGCCGCACAGAAAGUAAUAUUUUAAAUUCAAUAAGCAUUGCUUAGCGCAUAUGAACAAGUUUUCAGUGCACAGGAUAAACACGAGCGAGUUCAUUCAAAAAUCACAUCCUUGGUACAUUCAUCCGCCACAAGGCGGGCACCUGCAAGAACAUCCUUGUAGUAGUUCUCGGGCUUGCGAUGCUCCUUCCCCGGCGGCGCCCCGUCCUUCACAAGCUUCUCACCAUCCAGCUUACCCCAGUGCACCUUUGCACGGGCAAGGGCCCGAUGGGCACCUUCGAUGCAGACGGAGUACUUGAUGACCUCGAGCCUCGGACAGGCCUCCACCAGCCGCCACACCAGCCCAAAAUAGCUCCCAGGCAGGGCCUCUCUGGGCCACAGCCGAACUAUGAGGCCCUUCAUGGCCUGUUCGGCCGCCUUGUGGAGCUCGACCAGCUGUUUCAGCUGGUCGCUCAAAGGCAUAGGGUGUCCGGCCUCAGAAUACUGAGACCAGAACACCUUCUCCGUCGAGCUGCCCUCUUCAACUCGGUAGAAUGCGGCGGCGGCGGAUACGCUGCGGGAAGAUCUACGAAUGCCCCUGGAGAGCUCCGGAUUCGGGUAAGUAACAAGUAGUUUACUUUUAUAUUUCUGCUUUGCAUAAAGAAUACCUUACCCGCUGCUAUCUUACUCAUCUCCUCCAACUCUUGGAGGGCCUUUUGGGCUUUGGCCUUGGCAGACUUGGCAGUCUCAAGGGCCGUCGCGAGCUCGGAUGCUUGCGCCUUUGACUCAAGCUCCAAACUCUCAUGUUUUUUCAUAAGAGCCUGAAGCUCUUGUUGCACCUCGCCGACCUGAACCCCAAGUCGGUCUCGCUCGGUGCACUCCGUGGUCAUUUUCUUUUCGGCCUCAGACAGCGCCUGCUUAAGGGUCGCCACCUCAGUCGUGGCCCCUACAAUAAGCAGUACAAUCCUAUUAUUUUUUAUUUUUGCAAUCACGCCUUUUUAUAGGCACUUUCUCUGUAAGGUAUUUCUUACCUUCUUUCUCCUCGAGCUGCCGCUUGGCAAGGCCAAGCUCUUGCUCGGUCCGCUCGAGGUCCUGCUUCAGGACACCCACCUCCGCAGUCAGUGCGGCGGUGGAUAGCAGCGAAGCCUGCAUACGCAUAUUGACUCUUUUUGUUAGACUCCUGCGAAAUUUAAUAGAUCCUCUAUUCGGCUUUUCUUUCCGAAUGCCAAACAGAGCAUCAGGGGCUACUGUCUAUGCGGUAAUAUUUUUACAUAUUUUUACUUACCUUGAAGCCUGUUAGAAGGCUAGCGCAAGCUUCACGAGCGGACUGAACCUUCUGGAUCACCGUACUCAUAAUAGUACAGUGCCCCUCGUCGAUGGAGGCGCCGUCAAGAACCUCUAGCAGAUUGUCCGGCACCUCCGAUUGGACGGAGGCCGCCGGCUCAGAAGGCUUGCUCCUCUUGGAAGGAGUUCGCCUACCGCGGUCCGGAACUGUGGAAGAUUCUGGCGCGGUGUCCGGCACAAAGCCGGACUUGGAGCCCUGGGGGGCCUUAUCCCCUUCACUCCUGGAGUCUGGGAGGUUGCCUUGCGGCUCCUCCGGGACCACCUCCUCCUGCCCCGGAGCUUGUCGCGACGCCACUUCGGCGUCGUCUGCAGUGCGGGGGGAGACAGCGGGCGGAACUGAGUUCACGUCUGAUGAGUCCAGGGAGCCGCCCGACGAUUCGUUGAAUUCGGCCUGGGGCGGGCUGCAUAAUUAUGUUCGACAUUAGGGAAAGCUAUGCAACAAAGGAACAUCAUGAGUUACUCUGAUGUCCGAACUUACGAUUUCGCCGGACGCUUGGCCCUGUUUGGCCACUCCUCUUCGCCCUCUUCGGCGUCGGGGGAGUAGUCCGGCGGAGGGGUCUUCCUUUUCCUAGACCCCUCGGCCUCCCCCGUUGGGGCGGCCUUCCUCUUCUCUCCUCCCUCCGCUGGGGGGGAGAGUUUUCUUCUUCCUCCUCCUCGUUUUCACGGGAAGAGGGCGUCUCGGACUCGUCGGAUGACGAGUCCGACACCACCACGUUACAGGCACUCUUUCGAGUCCCCGUGGUCUUCUUCUUCUUGGCCGUCUUCUCCAGCACCACAUAAGGCGCCGGAACCAGCAGCUUCACUAGUAGAGCUGGGGCUGGGUCUUCGGGCAGCGGAGUCGGACAGUUAAUCGGUCCGGAUGUCGCCCGCCAAGCCUGUCAAAGGUAAGGGAGUUUAGAUCCCGCAUAGAGUCAAACUAUGAAGAAAGCUUAACAUCCUGUAAAAGGUGAAGAUAGCUUACCUCACUAGCGUGACGCUGCGAGCUGUAUCCGCGGUCCUCGGAAGCAGAUACGGGAGCCUCGGCGCCCUUGAAUAGCACCUUCCAGGCAUCUUCGUACGUCGUGUCAAAGAGCCUGCUAAGGGUUUGGUGCUGCACCGGGUCGAACUCCCAUAGAUUAAAAUCCCGUUGUUCGCACGGGAGGAUCCGGCGGACGAGCAUAACCUGGAUUACAUUAACAAGCCAGAUUGGCUUGUUCACCAGGGACUGGAUGCAUGUUUGCAAUCCGGUCACCUCUUUUUCUUCACCCCACGACAGGCCCGUCUCUUUCCAGGACAUAAGCCGCGUGGGGGGUCCAGAUCGGAACUCGUGGGCUGCGGUCCAUUUUGGAUCGCGUGGCUCGGUGAUGUAAAACCACCCGGAUUGCCACCCCUUUAGGGUCUCCACAAAAGAGCCCUCGAACCAUAGGAUGUUGGCCAUCUUGCCCGCCAUGGCGCCUCCGCACUCCGCCUGGCUGCCGUGCGCCACCUUGGGCUUGACGUUGAAGGUCUUGAGCCAGAGGCCGAAAUGAGGGCGGACGCGGAGGAAAGCCUCGCACACGACGAUAAACGCCGAGAUGUUGAGGAUGAAGUUCGGGGCCAGAUCAUGGAAAUCUAGGCCGUAAUAAAACAUGAGCCCCCGGACAAAUGGGUGGAGUGGAAAACCCAGUCCGCGAAGGAAGUGGGGGAGAAAUACUACCCUCUCAUGGGGCCUUGGGGUGGGGAGAAGCUGUCCCUUUUCAGGAAGCCGGUGCGCGAUGUCCUUGUACAGGUAUCCGGCCUUCCUUAGCUUCUUGACUUGGCCCUCCAUGGCGGAGGAGACCAUCCACUUGCCUCCCGCUCCGGACAUUGCUGGAGAAGGUUGCGGUGGGAAGUGCGGGCUUGGGCGCUGGAGCUCGAGUGCGCAGGAGAUGGAUAGGCAAAAGAGGAAGAAGGCGUAGGUAAAAGGGUGGAUCCUUAUCCCCUUAUAUGGGUGGAUGCGGUUGUGCAUCCCCACCAGCCUAGUAAAACUCGCUUGCCUCCCAAGCGCCGUGAUAAAUGGCGCGGUUGGGUUACCCACGUCCGUAUUGAUGAGAAUCCCGUAAAAGGGGGGUACAUGAUCUCUGCUUUGACAAGACGUGCCAAGGAAACCGCCUCGCAAAACACGCUGAGGUGGAAAAGUGAAAACAAUUCGGGUGAAGGACUUGGCUGUAGUGUGAUGACGCACUGCAGAAUACGUCAGUAGAUUUGAUUUGUGUUAAUAUUAUUCUCUCUAUGGCAAUAUGUGGAAGCUUAUUUUGCAGAGCCGGACACUACUCUUGGUGUUUACAAUCUUCUAUGAAGGACUUGGAGGAGGAACCCGCCUUGCAAUGCCGAAGACAAUUUGCGCGCCGGACUCGUCGUCAUUGAAGCCUGGUUCAGGGGCUACUGAGGGAGUCCUGGAUUAGGGGGUGUUCGGGUAGCCGGACUAUACCUUCAGCCGGACUCCUGGACUAUGAAGAUACAAGAUUGAAGACUUCGUCCUGUGUCCGGAUGGGACUUUCCUUGGCGUGGAAGGCAAGCUUGGCGAUGCGGAUAUUCAAGAUCUCCUACCAUUGUAACCAACUCUAUGUAACCCUAACCCUAUCCAAUGUCUAUAUAAACUGGAGGGUUGUAGUCCGUAGGCAAUCAACUCCAUAUACAACAAUCAUACCGUAGGCUAGCUUCUAGGGUUUAGCCUCCUUGAUCUCAUGGUAGAUCUACUCUUGUACUACCCAUAUCAUCAAUAUUAAUCAAGCAGGACGUAGGGUUUUACCUCCAUCAAGAGGGCCCGAACCUGGGUAAAACAUCGUGUUCCCUGCCUCCUGUUACCAUCCGGCCUAGACGCACAGUUCGGGACCCCCUACCCGAGAUCCGCCGGUUUUGACACCGACACUCCCCCACCGACUGGGGGAGACAAGAAAAGGAAGGCCACCCCAACUGGGGAGGCCGGAGGGUCCAAGAAGGGAAGGACUCUCCUUCCGGACAGUUCCACCGCCGCUGACGAAGGCGAAGAUGAGUGGUUGCCCAGGGUCAAGCAACCGGGGAGAUCGUAAGUAUUCGGAUACUAGAGUAACUCAUAGGAUUCCUUUAUCGCACUACUUUCCCUAACACCGAACGCAAUUAUGCAGGCCACCACGAGCCAGUAUCGAUGUAUCAUCGAACGGCUCCUUGGGCUUGUCGGACAUGGAUAGCGAUCCAGUCCUGACCGCCACCUCCCCUCAUCCUGCCGACGACGCUGAGGUGUUGUCUCAAGAGGCACCGGAUCAAGGGGAGACAGUCCCGGAGGCACCUCAAGGCGACCUUCCGGACUCCGCGAGCCGAGGGGACGGGGCCCCUGAGAGCUCCGAGUUUGGCCCUCAGCCGAAGACCGCGCCGGAACCUCCAGCGGUUCCAAGCUCGGGCAGGCGGCCUCCUUCUAAGAGGGGCAAGACGCCUGUGCUAGUGACCUCUGUCCAUCCAAAGGCGCCGGACAAUCUGCUGGAAGCGUUUCGCAGCGCUUCCAUCGACGAGGAGCACCGCACUAUCAUGAGUGCGGUGAUCCAGAAGGUUCAGUCCGCCAAGAGCGGAUUGACUAAAGCCUAUGCCAGCCUUCUAACAGGCUUCGAGGUAAGUGUUAAAAUGUAGUAUAAAUAUUACCGCAUAGACAGUAGCCCCUGAUGCUUUGUUCGGUGUUCACAAAGAAAAGCCGAAUAGAGGACCAAAUAAUAUCGCAGGAGUCUAAUAUAAGUAUGUCAAUAUGCAUAUGCAGGCUUCGCUGCUGGCGUCCGCCGCACUAACUGCGGAGGUCGCCAUACUGAAGCAGGACCUCAAGGGGUCCAGGAAAGAGCUCGGCCUUGCCAAGAGGCAGCUCGAGGAGAACAAGGGUAAGUAAUACCCCGUCUAUAGAUAUGUAUAUAUAAAAAAGGACGCGAUUGCAAAAUGACAGGAUCAUUGUAUGUUUGCCAGGGGCCACGACCGAGGUGGCGACCCUGAAGCAAGCGCUAACCAAGGCCGAAGAUAAAGCGGCCCAGGAGGGCAUCGAGCAAGAGAAGCACGAGGCUCGGGUGGGCGAGGUGCAGUAAGAGCUCGAGGCUCUCAUGACGAAGCACGAGGCGUUGGAGCUUGACUCAAAGACACGAGAGUCUGAGCUUGCCGCGGCCCUUGAGAGCGCAAAGAGUGCCAAGGCCGAGGCCCAGAAGGCCCUCCAGGAGAUCGACGCAAUGAAGAAGAUAGCGGCGGUAAGGCAUUCUAUAUGCAGAGCAAGCAUGUAAAAGUAAAUUACCGAUUACUUACCCAAAUUCAGAGCUCUCCAGGAGCAUUCGUAGAUUUGCCCUGCAGUGUGUCGGAUGCCGCGCAGUUUUACCAGGCCGAGGAGGGAAGCUCAACGGAGAAGCUGUUCUGGUCUCGGUAUACUGGGACCGAACACCCAAUGCCUCUGAGCGACCAACUAAAGCAGAUGGUCGAGCUGCACAAGGUAGCCGAACAGACCAUGAAGGGCCUUAUAGUCCGACUGUGGCAUGGCGACAUCCUUCCGGACAGCUACUUCGUCCUGGUGAGGCGGCUUGUGGAUGCCUGCCCACGGCUGGAGGUCAUCAAGCGGUCCGUCUGCAUCGAAGGUGCACGUCGGGCUUUCGCCCGUGUGAAGGUGCAGUGGGCCAAGCUAGACGCUGUGAAGCUGAUCAAGGAAGGGCCGCCGCAGGGCAAGGAGCAUCGCACCCCCGAAAUUUAUUAUGAGGGUGUCCUGAAGGGUGCCCGUCUUGUAGCGGAUGAAUGUUCAAAGGAUGUAAUAUUUGAGUGAACUUGCUCGUGUGAUCCUGUAUGAUGAAAACUUGUUUUGUAUGCGUUAUGCAACGCUUGUGUGAAUUUAAAAUAUUACCUUCUGUUUGGCCGUUUAUCCAAUCUGAGAGAUGGCUAGUCCUCGGCUUCUGCCCCCAUGCCACGAGUGCUGGGGUGUUCAGGAUAAACCUGAGCACUCUUGUUCCCAUAUUUGGGUCCUUCGAGGGAGGUGCUCAGCACAAUGAACAAGGCAACCGGACUAAUAAUGCUUUAUCACUCUCACUUAGCCAUAGAAUUCUAUAAUUUUAAAUUUCGACGAAGCCCCUGGUAUUCGGAAGGCCGAAUUCGGGGCGCGAUACACGCCUAUAAGCCGGACAGGGCCGACCCCUCGCCCUAAGCGGCAUAAGUCUUUAGGGACUCGAAAAACCUCGUCGAACAGCGACCAGUCUCUCGCCUUAUCAUGAUAGUCAGUUUUAGCUUUCUCUACUGAGGUGCUAAGCCCGGCAGAACCGGGGCACAAUCUGUCACAUCCCUAGCUCUGACCUGUCCUGUGCUUGCUUCCAUCUGUGCAUCAUGUUUAAAUUUUUGAAACUUGAACUGAGGAAUUUUGGAAGCCUCAAAAACUUAAAUAAAAGAGGGGCAAAAACCCUAGAAAUCUCAUUCAUUGCUCCAAAAUGCUCUUCUUAAAUGUUUGAUAAUUUUUGGUAAGGGUUCUGGUCCCAACCAAAAUAUUGAAAUUUUUUUAAGGAAUUAUUUUUGGGACUUUGGAUUUAAUUCAUUAGCUAUUUGAAUUUGAAUUAUAUUCAUAUAAUUAGAAUAUAAUUUCAAAUACCCCCUGAAAUAUUUUAUAAGCUUUUGGAAAAGUCCAUCUAGCAAUAUAAAAUAUUCAGAGGAGCUUUGGCAUUGUUUGAAUUAUUAUUUUAAUUCAAAACAGUGGCAAAAGAAUUAAAUAAAAGAAAAACAGAACUGAAAUAGAAAUAAAAGAGAGAGAGAGAAGGAAGUUACCUGGCCUCACCCGUGCAGCCCACCAGAGCCGGCCCAGCUCCUGUGCUGGUCCAGCACUGUGCGGCCCAGCCCACCGCUGUCGCCACCGUCUUCAACCUCCUGCCAGUAGGCAGGAGGGCGUGUGCCCGACGCGCGCGCGCACGCACCGGCCACCUCAUGCUUGCCGCUUGCUCCUGGACGUCGCUAGGUGCGCCACGCCACCCCCUCGGACCCCUCUCACUCUUCCUCGAGGCCCCGCCCCUCUGCUCCCUCUCUCUCGCCCGAACCCGAACGCAGCCAUCGCCACCGACGAGAGCCACCGCGGCCACCGCCUCCCCCUUGCCUCUCCGACGCGCCCCCGAGCUCCGCCGUGACGUCCCCGUCCCUACCACGGAACCACAAGACGCCGGACGCCCUGGAGCGCCGUCACCGACGCCAUCUUCUUCCUCUGCACCGACGGCCGUCGUCGUUUGAUUCGCCGCCCAUAGAGCGUCCCCGGCCUCGCCCCCGCGCUCGUUGGACUCGCGGUGAGCCGCUGACCCGUUCCCCUCUUCUUCCCAUGCCGUUUGGCCGCUCUAGCCAUUGCUUCCGCCGGACCCGAGAGCUCGCCGCCGCCGUGCCUCGUCACUGUCGUGGCCAGAGCCACCGUGGCUCAAAGCCGGGCACACCACCGUGCUCCAAACCUCACUAGGAGCACGUAGAACCCACCAGCUUCCCCUCCCGAGCACCACAACGCCAAACCCGCAGGUGCCCGAACUCCGGCCGCCGCCUUGGAGCUCGCCGCCGUCGACUCAGGCCACCCCAGCUCCUCUGGCUUGCUCCAUUGGAUGCGCACGAGCUCGAGCUCCCUGUAGAACCCCUCCGCGCGUCGAAUGGGCACCGGAGCAGCCAUUCCGGCGAGCCACCGCCGCGUCUGGUCGUUGCCGGCGGUUAGACGCCGGUGGAUUAGCCCGGUUGACCAGGGAUUUGACCCCCCUGGGUCACCGACGUGUGGGCCCGUCCCCUGCUAACUUUUGGUUAAUUUAAUAACUAUUUCAGUUAAGCCACUGACUCACUGACAUGCGGGCCCCGCCCGGCUAACUAAGUUAGUUAGGGUUAAUUUUAAUUAGGUUAGUUAGUCCAGACACUGACACGCAGGGCCCACAGGUCAGUCUGACCUGGACGGCGCCCGUUGACCUGCUGACAUCACUAUGAGGUCAUGAUGACGCAAUAAUUCCUUUCUGGAAUUUAAAUAAAUCUUAAAUGAUUUAAUAAUUUCAGAAAAUAGCUAAAACUUCUAUAAAUCAUAGAAAAUUAACCGUAACUCCAAAUUAAAUAAAUUAUAUAUGAAAAAUUAUCAGAAAAAUUCAAGGAAUCCAUCUUUACCAUUUUCAUGCAUGUUAGAACAACUUAUAGCUGCUGUUUAGCACAAAUCAAUUAAAUGGCAUUUGAAUAAUCACAUAUGGAGUUUAAAUUUGAAUCUUGUAUUCAAACCAACUUCAUUUAAUCUGUUGCUAGUUGCAUUAGCUCAAACACAUUCAUUUUGCCAUGUCAUGAUCAUGCAUCAUAUUGUGCAUCGCAUUGAUUGUGUUCCCUUCUAUGUUGCCGGUAUUUGUCCCCUCUCGAUAGACGUGAUACCGAUGAUGUGAUCGUUGACACUGAUGAAGACUCAAUGUUAUCUUCAGAAGUGCCAGGCAAGCAAAACCCCCUUGUUCAUUCCGAUAAAAUCCCACUCUCUCGCUCCUGCUCUCUUUUACUGCAUUAGGACAACAACGACAUAUUUGAUACUUGCUGCGGUAGCUGAACCCUUUAUCCUUUGCAUGACCUGUCAUCGCCACAGUAAAUAGAUGAAACCCACUAGCAUGAGUAGGAGUUGUUUGAGCCCUGAUGUGCCUACUCAUUCAUGCUUGUUUGUCAUGCCUGCUACUGCUUAGAGUUGAGUCAGGUCUGAUUCAUCGGGGAUGAAUCAGAGGCGUGUGAACAUGUCCUACUGUGUGUGAGCUAAGUGUGUGAACACGAUUUGGUAAAGGUAGCGGUGAGAGGCCAUGUAGGAGUACAUGGUGGGUUGUCUCAUUGCAGCCGACCUCAGGAACUGAGUUCUGUGUUUGUGAUCCAUGACCAGUUACUACCACACAUUGGGUUCCGGUAACUCGACCCCUCUCGACUUAUUAAUCAACAUGAUCUCUGUCCAGGAGUUGCAACUAGUUUCUGGUGUUUGUAGGUAGUGUUAGUAGUCUACCAAGUGGCACCCGGUACAGGUGGGCUUGGGACAGACUAGGCACAGUGGCACGGUGUACCAAGUGGCACCCGGUUGUUGGGCUUGGGAACCCUGCACACAUCGUUUGGGGCCGUAAGCGACACCCCGGCCGGAUCUCCUUGCAGAUGGAACCCGAAUAGGCGAUAAACCUGGACUAGAGACUUGUUCGGUUAGUCAGGUCGUGGCCGACUCCCUCGCCCGGCUUCCGCUUGAAGGUUGCCGAGGUACAUGACGUGUACAGGGCGAUAAGUGGCAAAAGCGUGUGUGAAGAAGUACACCCCUGCAGGGUUAUCAUUAUCUAUUCGAAUAGCCAGAUUCCUCGGAUAUGGAAACUUGGACCCCUUGCAUAGUUCAUAGACAAGUGAAAGUGGAUACUCUAAAAUACGCAAGAUAAGCGUGAGUGCUAUGGAUGGCGUUCUCGUAGGGAGACGGGAGCGGAUCCAUAGUGGUGUAUUGAUAUGGUGAAUAUGUGGACUCGUGCGCGCCACCUCAAAAGAGUUACUUGCAGUCGUAGUUCAGGAUAGCCACCGAGUCAAAGCUGGCUUGCUGCAGUUAAACCCCACCAUCCCCUUUGUUGAUAAUGAUGCAUAUUUAGAUAGAUCUGAUGUAAGUCUUGCUGGGUACAUUUGUACUCACGUUGCUUAAUUUAUGUUUUUGCAGAGAGACUUCAGUCUCACUAGUAGUUCCACGUGGACUUCGACGUUUAGCUUGUUACCUCAGCUACGAUCUUGUGCCCUCGGCAGGAUCUGAUAGAUAGUCAGGCUUCUCAGCCUUUUUCAUUUAUCAAUGUCUGUACUCAGACAUGUUAAGCUUCCGUUUGUGUUUUGACCUGUAUGCUCUGAUUGUUGGGUCAUAAGACCCAUGUUUGUAAUGUCUCGCUCCUCGGAGCCUAUUGAAUAAACUACUUGAGUCGUAGAGUCAUUUUGUGAUGCCAUGUUGUAUUGCACAUAUCGAGCAUAUUGUGUGUAUGUUAGUGAAAUGCUUGGUAUGCGUGGGAUCUGACUAUCUAGUUGUUUAUCUUUAGUAGCCUCUCUUACCGGGAAAUGUCUCCUAGUGUUUCCACCGAGCCAUGGUAGCUUGCUACUGCUCCGGAACACUUAGGCUGGCCGGCAUGUGUCCUUCUUCGUUCCUGUGUCUGUCCCUUCGGGGAAAUGUCACGCGAUGAAUACCGGAGUCCUGUUAGCCCGCUACAGCCCGGUUCACCGGAGUCCUGCUAGCCCAGUGCUACAGCCUGGAUUCACUCGCUGAUGACCGACACGUUCGAUGCUGGGUCAUGGAUGCCUGUCCCUGUAAGUUUGUGCCACUUUGGGUUUACGACUAGCCAUGUCAGCCCGGGCUCCUUAUCAUAUGGAUGCUAGCGACACUGUCAUAUACGUGUGCCAAAAGGCGCAAACGGUCCCGGGUAAAGGUAAGGCGACACCCGUGGGAAUACCGUGCGUGAGGCCGCAAAGUGAUAUGAAGUGUUACAUGCUAGAUCUAUGUGGCAUUGAGUCGGGGUCCUGACAGCAUUGGUAUCAGAGCUUGACUGCCUGUAGGAUUACCAAGCCAAACUGGUCGAAGUUGAGUCUAGAAAUUCUUUAGUUAUAUAAGGGAAUUGAUUGUGGGAUGGAACGUAAGGCUCUUUUUACUCCUUAUACCUCAUGGCCUUCUGAUCUGAGUCAUCAUCUUCUCUUCUACGGGGAUUAAGAACUAGGCUAUCUCUUCUUUCCAUCAGGAUCACGUGUUACUAAUCCGUAGACUUAUAGAUUGUUGGACUUAAGCCUCGUUUCAGUUCCUACUACUUUUGUAUGAUUAUUGUUGAUCUCGAGACCUUGAUAUUGUGCUUCUGAGUGGUUAUGCCACCAUUUUUGUGAAUGUCUCAAAUCUUUUCUGAGCAUUUACAGCCGUUAUGCUGUCCGAGUCAUCCCAGGUUUCUAAGUAGUCUGAUGCAUUUGCAAAUCCUUUCUUCCCGUUUCAAUGUUCCCAUAGGCCGGAUUAACCACACUAAUCAGUGAGUUGAGGUACUCCGUUACCUUGACAUAUAUGUUGGAGAUAUUAUUAUGACCCUAGGUGUCUUAGGGGAUCAUCUAGUAAUUUAGCCAUGAUUUGUGUUCCCAGUGUGAUGAUUCUGGCCAUCAUUCUCGAAAGCAUCCCGUGAUGCUACUUAGUAAUAGGUAUUCUGUUCCUGGGUUCUUGAACCCGAGAUUCACUCUACCUACUUCAUGUUGAUAGUAAUUGCUAGUGCCUUUAGGAUAUUAGUAACCUUUGCGAUAGUCCUUGAAGUCCGUGGUAUCUUCUUCUUCCAAAUACCAUGAACUACUUAUGGCAGAAGUUCCUCGUUGAACUGAAAUAUCACAACAGGAUUAUUCUUGAUGAGUUCUCCAUUAUAUAUUGUGGCUCUGCCAGUUCUACCUUUCUGCAUGGGUUAUCCGGAAAAAAUAUGUUGAACUUCGUUCGACAUGCUAAUCCAUGCAUCCACAACUCAGAAAAUCAUAUGUUCUUUUGAGUUGACCCAUCUUAGUUGUUUCCGACCCUCGCCUAUCAAUUGAUAGUCAAGAGUAUGCGUGCAUUCGUUCGUCGAUGCCUAUUACCCUUGUGGUCCGCCAAGCCAUUCUAUUUUAGAAUGAAUAGGAGAAACAAACUCCAGUACCUCAUCCAUAUCUAGGAUUGGGUCAAAGUAGUUGUAUUCCGCAGAUCAAAUGCCAAUCCAGCUUUUGGUUCUGUUCUACCUUGGAGUAUUACCCCCUUUAUGUCAGAAUUGUCAUGAGAACUGCACCAACUUUCAUGAAUUUUGACGUAGUAAUACUUCUCACCAUCAUUAGUCAUUCCUCGGCCAUCGUGUUGAUGCAACCGGAAUACCGACAAAUGAAUUGUGAUGUGUGAAAUCAAUACUCCCAGCAACCUCGUUGCUUGGUAGUUAAGGGACAAUAAUUUCAUUCUUAGCGUGUUGGUUUUUGAAUCAUCCUUCUAAGACUGAUCGUGCUACCUAGUCCUUAUUUCGGUGCACCCUUCGAUUGAUGAGUUAGGAUCUUGUCAAGUCCUCACUCAUUUGAUCAUAUCGUCUUGCCCUCAAAAGCGAGAUUGUUCUCAAGCUUAGUAACAUACCGGUGGUUCGUGAUUUUCCGAAUAUCUUCUUGGAAGUAUUACCAGGUUGUCACCUGACUGCUAUGUUGAGCUCGUGAUCAAGUCGGGUUCUUGUGAACCACCCUUUCUCCAAGAAUCUGUGAUGGAUAUCCCGGAGCUAGUUGGUUAAGCUAGACAACAACGGCGGUAAGUGGUGAGAGCGUGUGUGAAGAAGUAUACCCCUGCAGGGUUAACAUCAUCUAUUCGAAUAGCCGUGUCCGCGGAAAAGGACUUCUGGGUUGCUUAUAUCAGUUCAUAGACAAGUGAAAGUGGAUACUCUAAAAUACGCAAGAUAAGCGUGAGUGCUAUGGAUGGCGUUCUCGUAGGGAGACGGGAGCGGAUCCAUAGUGGUGUAUUGAUAUGGUGAAUAUGUGGACUCGUGUGCGCCACCUCAAAAGAGUUACUCGCAGUCGUAGUUUAGGAUAGCCACCGAGUCAAAGCUGGCUUGCUGCAGUUAAACCCCACCACCCCUUUGUUGAUAAUGAUGCAUAUGUAGUUAGUUCUGAUGUAAGUCUUGCUGGGUACAUUUGUACUCACGUUUGCCUAUUUUAUGUUUUUGCAUAGAGACUUCGGUCUCGCUAGUAGUUCCGCGUGGACUUCGACAUUUAGCUUGUUACCUCAGCUACGAUCUUGUGCCCUCGGCAGGAUCUGAUAGAUAGUCAGGCUUCUCAGCCUUUUUCAUUUAUAGAUGUCUGUACUCAGACAUGAUAGCUUCCGCUUGUGCUUUGACUUGUAUGCUCUGAAUGUUGGGUCGUGAGACCCCUGUUUGUAAUAUCUCGCUCCUCGGAGCCUAUUGAAUAAAUUACUUGAGUCGUAGAGUCAUGUUGUGAUGCCAUGUUGUAGUUGCACAUAUCGAGCAUAUUGUGUGUAUGUUAUUGAAAUGCUUGGUAUGUGUGGGAUCUGACCAUCUAGUUGUUUAUCUUUAGUAGCCUCUCUUACGGGGAAAUGUCUCCUAGUGUUUCCAUCGAGCCAUGGUAGCUUGCUACUGCUCCGGAACACUUAGGCUGGCCGGCAUGUGUCCUUCUUCGUUCCUGUGUCUGUCCCUUCGGGGAAAUGUCACGCGAUGAAUACCGGAGUCCUGUUAGCCCGCUACAGCCCGGUUCACCGGAGUCCUGCUAGCCCAGUGCUACAGCCUGGAUUCACUCGCUGAUGACCGACACGUUCGAUGCUGGGUCAUGGAUGCCUGUCCCUGUAAGUUUGUGCCACUUUGGGUUUACAACUAGCCAUGUCAGCCCGGGCUCCUUAUCAUAUGGAUGCUAGCGACACUGUCAUAUACGUGUGCCAAAAGGCGCAAACGGUCCCGGGUAAAGGUAAGGCGACACCCGUGGGAAUACCGUGCGUGAGGCCGCAAAGUGAUAUGAAGUGUUACAUGCUAGAUCUAUGUGGCAUUGAGUCGGGGUCCUGACAGCGUUGGUAUCAGAGCUUGACUGCCUGUAGGAUUACCAAGCCAAACUGGUCGAAGUUGAGUCUAGAAAUGCUUUAGUUAUAUAAGGGAAUUGAUUGUGGGAUGGAACGUAAGGCUCUUUUUACUCCUUAUACCUCUUGCCCUUCUGAUCUGAGUCAUCUUAUCUUUCCUACGGGGUUAAGGAACUAGGUUUUCUCUUCUUUCUAUCAGGAUCACGUGUUACUACUCUGUAGACUUAUAAGAUUGUUGGACUUAAGCCUCGUUUCAGUUCCUACUACUUCUGUAUGAUUAUUGUUGAUCUCGAGACCUUGAUAUCGUGCUUCUGAGUGGUUAUGCCACCAUUUUUGUGAAUGUCUCAAAUCUUUUCUGAGCAUUUACAGCCGUUAUGCUGUCCGAGUCAUCCCAGGUUUCUAAAUAGUCUGAUGCAUUUGCAAAUCCUUUCCCUCUGGUUUCGAUGCUCCUUUAUGCCAGCUCAAUCACACAAAUUGUUGAGUUGAGGUAUUCUAUUGCCUCGACCUUUAUGUUGGAAUAUUGUUAUGACCUAGGUGUCUUAGGGGAUCAUCUAGUAAUUUAGCCAUGAUUUGUGUUCCCAGUGUGAUGAUUCUGGCCAUCAUUCUCGAAAGCAUCCUGUGAUGCCAUUUAGUUAGUAGGUAUUCUAUUCCUGGGUUCUUAAACCCGAUAUUCACCCUACUUACAUCAUGUUGAUAGUGUUUGCUAGUUCCUUCAGGAUAUUAGUAACCUUUGCGAUAGUUCUCGAGGUUCGUGGUACAUCCUUCUUCCAAUUACCAUGAACCAUUCAUGGCAGAAGUUUGUUGGAUCAAAGGAUCACAACAGGCCCUCUAUGAGUUCUCCAUUCUAUAUUGCGACUCUGCCAGCUCAACCUUUCUGCAUGGGUUAUCCGGAAGAAUUAUGUUGAUCUCGCUCGACAUACUAAUCUAUGCAUCCACAACUCAGAAAGUUAUAUGUUCCUUUGAGUUGUCCCUCUUUAGUUGUCUAUUGACCUUCGUCUAUCAAUUGAUAGUCAAGAGUAUGCAUGCAUUCGUUUAUCGAUGCCUAUUACUCUUGUGGUCCGUCAAGCCAUUCUAUUGUAGAAUGAUAGGAGAAACAAACUCCAGUACCUCUUCCCUAUCUAGGAUUGGGUCAAAGCAAUUGUGCUCCGCAGAUCAAAAUGCCAGCCCAGCUUUUGAUUCUGUUCUACCCUGAAGUAUUACCGUCUUUAUGUCAGGAUUUUCAUGGGGAUUGCACCGGCUCUUGUGAAUUCUUGAUGUAGUGAUACUUCUCACCAUCAUUAGUCAUUCCUCGGCCCUCGUGUUGAUGCAACCGGAAUACCGACGAAUGAAUUGUGAUGUGUGAAAUCAAUACUCCUAGCAACCUCGUUGCUUGGUAGUUAAAGGACAAUAAUUUCAUUCUUAGCGUGUUGGUUUUUGAAUCAUCCUUCUAAGACUGAUCGUGCUACCUAGUCCUUAUUUCGGUGCACCCUUCGAUUGAUGAGUUAGGAUCUUGUCAAUUCCUCACUCAUUUGAUCAUAUCGUCUUGCCCUCAAAAGAGAGAUUGCUCUCGAGCUUAGUAACAUACCGGUGGUUCGUGAUUUUCCGAAUAUCUUCUCGAAAGUAUCACCAGGUUGUCACCGGACCGCUAUGUUGAGUUCGUGAUCAAGUUGGUUCCUUGUAAACCACCCCUUCUCCAAGAAUCUGUGUGGGAUACCCCUGAGCUAGUUGGUCAAGCUAAACAACAACUUGGAGAGUUGGAAGAUAAAAGCUUGCCUGACUUAGUUCGUUCCAAAGGGAUAUCUUUGUGUGUGUGUGUGUGUGUGUGUGUGUGUGUGUGUUGAAGAAAGAUGAUAUCUUCGUCGAUUGGUCCCUGUGAUCAGUUGCUGGACCUAUUGUCUUAUCAACCCUUUGAUUUGAGUGUGGGCUAUCGUCAAAUCAAGUUAGAACCAACGAUGUUCGUAAUGUUGUCUUACUCGUGGUUGAUCCCUCGAGCAUACACCAUUAUAUCUUUUGGGUCUGACCAAUGCUAUCACCGUGUUCACACGAUGGUGGAAGUCCAGUGAUAUGGAAAUUCCGAUGAGUUGUUAUUGAGCCCAUUGACAACAUUCUUAUCUCCUCCAUGAUGUUGUUGAACAUUAAGUUAGUGUUGGAAACUUUUGAAAGCAUUUUCUUCAUGCUAGCUCAUGAAGUACUUGUUUGAUGAAAGGAGUGACUUCCUUUGAUUCACGUGCAUUUUGAUGUAAGUUGCCGUCGUGAAUUCGAGAAAGUUUGUUUUUGCUCCUUUGGAAUCAUCCCAAGUCGGUCAUGCACGUGCGAAGAGUUCUGUGGUCUGUUAGACUGAUCAUCUUCAUUCCAUAUGUAUAUCCUAGCACACCAAGCCACUGAUUGAUUUGUUCAAGGAGAAGAAGUUCCUUCAUAAGAGCUAAUCAUAUGACUUAUGCAAGGACUUCGUUAUCCACGGCGAUGGUUCCCAACCAGAACUCGGUAGUGUUUUAUUGUAAGACUACCAUGUGAUCAUGUUUGACUGAGACAACAUGUUCACACGUGCGUAGCAGAACCAGCUCAUGUUUUGGAGCUUGCUAUCGUAGUUCAUUCCCCGAGAAUCUCGCAACGUCAUCUCGUCGAAUUGUGUUGCAAACUUUCAUUUUUCUUCCUAGACUCGAUGAGUCUGGAAUAUCCUAACACCAACCAGAUCUGAAUCUCAGGCAGAUAUGAUGGUUGGAACAUUUUCCAAGAACUAUAAUAUUGGUCCCUCGAUAACCGGUAAAGUGGAUGUCGUGGCCAACACACCCAACCGGAAGACCUAUUAUUAUAAUAUCUUGAUUGAGGAAGUUGGCCACCUCCCCAUAGGGAUUUCGUAGGAUUUACUCCCUAGUUGCCCCUAUGGAUUUUGAGAUCCCGAAGUCCGACCUUUUACUUGAUGUCCUAGAUACCAGACCAUUUCUAUGCAUGGGUUACACUAGCACAUCAAGGAGAACAUCAGAAGCGGAGUGCUAAAUGUCUCUCGGUCGAUCAUCCAGAUUUUAUUUCCUUGGCCCCGCGAAGGGUGAAAUCUGGGAAGGUGUUAUCUUCUUUUGCAUCCGCAUCAUCCAUCAUCAUUCAUCAUGGUAGUAUGUUGUGUUGCCAGGAUCCUUGACACGGAUGCUGAUAAAACCUUGAUGAUUGUGGAAAUGCUCAAGUUCUUGAGAGCACGUACAAGCGCUAUGUGUUAUCAUCGGCUCUAGCUGGGUUUGCUCUCAGUUCCCUCGGCAAUGCUAUGAUCUAUUCAAACAGUGAAUUCACUCUCUAUUGUUGGGUUCUUCCCCAGUUACCAGAAUCAUUCCCAGCAUUUGCAUUUUGUUCCCAGCUUGCACCGCCAAUGUGCCAUUCUACCAUGGGUCUCUUCCAUUUCCGGUGAUAAGCAAAUUCAUCCAUUACGUUGUCUUCAACAAGGUAAUCCACAUCAUCCAAGUUUGAGUAUGCCAUUCUACCGACCCCCUCCAAACGAUCGCUCGAGAAUUGUCUUAGGCUGGUUUAAAGAGUUUCAAUGAUCUCUGAAUCAAAGGUAAUUCUUUUUGCCACUUAAGGGGAUAUCCCUACGAGUCACCUUCCCUAAGGUGUAUCGUUAUGGUAUCAUGGCAACUCAACUCCUCGCUACGUUGACAAUCGUUUACCACCUUCUUAAGCGUGAAAUUGUUGUCUACCUAGUGAACCUUCGUUAUCCGUUUCUUUCCACCCCUCUUGAUGUGUAUCUCGUGUCUCAACCCGAGAGAUGGUCCUAUGUCUCAUUCCGUGAGUUGUUCGAUCUUUGAGAAGAUCGACCCUUCUAGAGUCUCCUUCUUCCCUCCAUGUCAUGUUGACAGGAUUUUUCAAGGCAAGACUUCAAGACAAUGAUGGUGAAUGAAUCAACGUUCAACUGAAGUGCACCUUGGAUCGUGAAGAUUAUACUAGUAUGCGUUACCCUUCACCUUACCCUAUGCUUGAAUCUCGAGACGAGAUUCUUGUUUAGUGGGGGUGAGUUGUCACAUCCCUAGCUUUGACCUGUCUUGUGCUUGCUUCCAUCUGUGCAUCAUGUUUAAAUUUUUGAAACUUGAACUGAGGAAUUUUGGAAGCCUCAAAAACUUAAAUAAAAGAGGGGCAAAAACCCUAGAAAUCUCAUUCAUUGCUCCAAAAUGCUCUUCUUAAAUGUUUGAUAAUUUUUGGUAAGGGUUCUGGUCCCAACCAAAAUAUUGAACAUUUUUUAAGGAAUUAUUUUUGGGACUUUGGAUUUAAUUCAUUAGCUAUUUGAAUUUGAAUUAUAUUCAUAUAAUUAGAAUAUAAUUUCAAAUACCCCCUGAAAUAUUUUAUAAGCUUUUGGAAAAGUCCAUCUAGCAAUAUAAAAUAUUCAGAGGAGCUUUGGCAUUGUUUGAAUUAUUAUUUUAAUUCAAAACAGUGGCAAAAGAAUUAAAUAAAAGAAAAACAGAACUGAAAUAGAAAUAAAAGAGAGAGAGAGAGAAGGAAGUUACCUGGCCUCACCCGUGCAGCCCACCAGAGCCGGCCCAGCUCCUGUGCUGGUCCAGCACUGUGCGGCCCAGCCCACCGCUGUCGCCACCGUCUUCAACCUCCUGCCAGUAGGCAGGAGGGCGUGUGCCCGACGCGCGCGCGCACGCACCGGCCACCUCAUGCUUGCCGCUUGCUCCUGGACGUCGCUAGGUGCGCCACGCCACCCCCUCGGACCCCUCUCACUCUUCCUCGAGGCCCCGCCCCUCUGCUCCCUCUCUCUCGCCCGAACCCGAACGCAGCCAUCGCCACCGACGAGAGCCACCGCGGCCACCGCCUCCCCCUCGCCUCUCCGACGCGCCCCCGAGCUCCGCCGUGACGUCCCCGUCCCUACCACGGAACCACAAGACGCCGGACGCCCUAGAGCGCCGUCACCGACGCCAUCUUCUUCCUCUGCACCGACGGUCGUCGUCGUUUGAUUCGCCGCCCACAGAGCAUCCCCGGCCUCGCCCCCGCGCUCGUUGGACUCGCGGUGAGCCGCUGACCCGUUCCCCUCUUCUUCCCAUGCCGUUUGGCCGCUCUAGCCAUUGCUUCCGCCGGACCCGAGAGCUCGCCGCCGCCGUGCCUCGUCACUGUCGUGGCCAGAGCCACCGUGGCUCAAAGCCGGGCACACCACUGUGCUCCAAACCUCACCAGGAGCACGUAGAACCCACCAGCUUCCCCUCCCGAGCACCACAACGCCAAACCCGUAGGUGCCCGAACUCCGACCGCCGCCUUGGAGCUCGCCGCCGUCGACUCAGGCCACCCCAGCUCCUCUGGCUUGCUCCAUUGGAUGCGCACGAGCUCGAGCUCCCUGUAGAACCCCUCCGCGCGUCAAAUGGGCGCCAGAGCAGCCAUUCCGGCGAGCCACCGCCGCGUCUGGUCGUUGCCGGCGGUUAGACGCCGGUGGAUUAGCCCGGUUGACCAGGGAUUUGACCCCCCUGGGUCACCGACGUGUGGGCCCGUCCCCUGCUAACUUUUGGUUAAUUUAAUAACUAUUUCAGUUAAGCCACUGACUCACUGACAUGCGGGCCCCGCCCGGCUAACUAAGUUAGUUAGGGUUAAUUUUAAUUAGGUUAGUUAGUCCAGACACUGACACGCAGGGCCCACAGGUCAGUUUGACCUAGACGGCGCCCGUUGACCUGCUGACGUCACUAUGAGGUCAUGAUGACGCAAUAAUUCCUUUCUGGAAUUUAAAUAAAUCUUAAAUGAUUUAAUAAUUUCAGAAAAUAGCUAAAACUUCUAUAAAUCAUAGAAAAUUAACCGUAACUCCAAAUUAAAUAAAUUAUAUAUGAAAAUUAUCAGAAAAUUCAAGGAAUCCAUCUGUACCAUUUUCAUGCAUGUUAGAACAACUUAUAGUUGCUGUUUAGCACAAAUCAAUUAAAUGGCAUUUGAAUAAUCACAUAUGGAGUUUAAAUUUGAAUCUUGUAUUCAAACCAACUUCAUUUAAUCUGUUGCUAGUUGCAUUAGCUCAAACACAUUCAUUUUGCCAUGUCAUGAUCAUGCAUCAUAUUGUGCAUCGCAUUGAUUGUGUUCCCUUCUAUGUUGCCGGUAUUUGUCCCCUCUCGAUAGACGUGAUACCGAUGAUGUGAUCGUUGACACUGAUGAAGACUCAAUGUUAUCUUUAGAAGUGCCAGGCAAGCAAAACCCCCUUGUUCAUUCCGAUAAAAUCCCACUCUCUCGCUCCUGCUCUCUUUUACUGCAUUAGGACAACAACGACAUAUUUGAUACUUGCUGCGGUAGCUGAACCCUUUAUCCUUUGCAUGACAUGUCAUUGCCACAGUAAAUAGAUGAAACCCACUAGCAUGAGUAGGAGUUGUUUGAGCCCUGAUGUGCCUACUCAUUCAUGCUUGUUUGUCAUGCCUGCUACUGCUUAGAGUUGAGUCAGGUCUGAUUCAUCGGGGAUGAAUCAGAGGCGUGUGAACAUGUCCUACUGUGUGUGAGCUAAGUGUGUGAACACGAUUUGGUAAAGGUAGCGGUGAGAGGCCAUGUAGGAGUACAUGGUGGGUUGUCUCAUUGUAGCCGACCUCAGGAACUGAGUUCUGUGUUUGUGAUCCAUGACCAGUUACUACCACACAUUGGGUUCCGGUAACUCGACCCCUCUCGACUUAUUAAUCAACAUGAUCUCUGUCCAGGAGUUGCAACUAGUUUCUGGUGUUUGUAGGUAGUGUUAGUAGUCUACCAAGUGGCACCCGGUACAGGUGGGCUUGGGACAGACUAGGCACAGUGGCACGGUGUACCAAGUGUCACCCGGUUGUUGGGCUUGGGAACCCUGCACACAUCGUUUGGGGCCGUAAGCGACACCCCGGCCGGAUCUCCUUGCGGAUGGAACCCGAAUAGGCGAUAAACCUGGACUAGAGACUUGUUCGGUUAGUCAGGUCGUGGCCGACUCCCUCGCCCGGCUUCCGCUUGAAGGUUGCCGAGGUACAUGACGUGUACAGGGCGAUAAGUGGCGAAAGCGUGUGUGAAGAAGUACACCCCUGCAGGGUUAUCAUUAUCUAUUCGAAUAGCCGGAUUCCUCGGAUAUGGAAACUUGGACCCCUUGCAUAGUUCAUAGACAAGUGAAAGUGGAUACUCUAAAAUACGCAAGAUAAGCGUGAGUGCUAUGGAUGGUGUUCUCGUAGGGAGACGGGAGCGGAUCCAUAGUGGUGUAUUGAUAUGGUGAAUAUGUGGACUCGUGCGCGCCACCUCAAAAGAGUUACUUGCAGUCGUAGUUCAGGAUAGCCACCGAGUCAAAGCUGGCUUGCUGCAGUUAAACCCCACCAUCCCCUUUGUUGAUAAUGAUGCAUAUGUAGAUAGAUCUGAUGUAAGUCUUGCUGGGUACAUUUGUACUCACGUUGCUUAAUUAUGUUUUUGCAGAGAGACUUCAGUCUCACUAGUAGUUCCACGUGGACUUCGACGUUUAGAUUGUUACCUCAGCUACGAUCUUGUGCCCUCGGCAGGAUCUGAUAGAUAGUCAGGCUUCUCAGCCUUUUUCAUUUAUCAAUGUCUGUACUCAGACAUGUUAAGCUUCCGUUUGUGUUUUGACCUGUAUGCUCUGAUUGUUGGGUCAUAAGACCCAUGUUUGUAAUGUCUCGCUCCUCGGAGCCUAUUGAAUAAACUACUUGAGUCGUAGAGUCAUUUUGUGAUGCCAUGUUGUAUUGCACAUAUCGAGCAUAUUGUGUGUAUGUUAUUGAAAUGCUUGGUAUGUGUGGGAUCUGACUAUUUAGUUGUUUAUCUUUAGUAGCCUCUCUUACCGGGAAAUGUCUCCUAGUGUUUCCACCGAGCCAUGGUAGCUUGCUACUGCUCCGGAACACUUAGGCUGGCCGGCAUGUGUCCUUCUUUGUUCCUGUGUCUGUCCCUUCGGGGAAAUGUCACGCGAUGAAUACCGGAGUCCUGUUAGCCCGCUACAGCCCGGUUCACCGGAGUCCUGCUAGCCCAGUGCUACAGCCUGGAUUCACUCGCUGAUGACCGACACGUUCGAUGCUGGGUCAUGGAUGCCUGUCCCUAUAAGUUUGUGCCACUUUGGGUUUACGACUAGCCAUGUCAGCCCGGGCUCCUUAUCAUAUGGAUGCUAGCGACACUGUCAUAUACGUGUGCCAAAAGGCGCAAACGGUCCCGGGUAAAGGUAAGGCGACACCCGUGGGAAUACCGUGCGUGAGGCCGCAAAGUGAUAUGAAGUGUUACAUGCUAGAUCUAUGUGGCAUUGAGUCGGGGUCCUGACACAAUCGCAGUAGUUCUCCUAGCGCUACCUUAGCCGAUAGAGCGGAAUGUAAGGUACCAAAACAUAGGAGCCGGGCAAACCCAACAUUUGAACAAAGACAUGAUUCGGAGCUGAUGCAUAUAGUGAUAUAAGUUCGGGGUGCCGCACUUGUGAAAGUGUUCGGACUUUUCACACUGUAUUGUGGGGUACGUAGGCCCCUGGUGUAUUGGUCGUACCAUAGUGUACGGUUGCAAGGCGUCAUUAAUGAACACACACACACACACACAUAUACAUAUAUAUAACAAGAAUGCAAUAAUAGUCGUAAUGUCAUGCAUUGUUUAUUAAAAAAUUGCGUUAAAGCAGAGUGAUACAGAUAGUGUGAUAAGCAAAGAGUAGGACUAUGUCCCUUCCAAGGGCAAUCUGAGGAAUGAUAUUAAAUUGAAUAUUUCACUCGUUACUGUAAUCAACCUGGGAAUUCUGUGGUAUGGCGUAGUUGUCUGCCUCCUUGGUUGCUGCAUCAUGUGUUUGGCAAUAGUGCUGCCGGACCGUGUUUCCAGAGAUUAAGGUCCUGAAAGAAAAAGAAAAAGAAAAAUAACCGAACGGGAAGCCCCUAGUGCGGUUUAGGCCGCGUCUUGGGGCGUGCCGCAGUUGUGCCCCCCUCCCCACCUAUGCCCAUGGUAAAUGCGUAAUUAUGUACGCGUGGCACGAGUUUCACCGCUAGACUGGGAUUGGGGUGGCCGUCGUAUUGCUACGCGAGCUCAGAUCGCGCCAGGCGGUCUAUUUGCCGAUUGCCUCGAGCGCGCUUGAAGGUGUCCGGGCUGUGAAGCACCGAACUGGUUGAUUGCCUUGAGAGGCUGCUUUGCGUUUCUGCUGCGAGGGCUGCGGUGUGCUCCUCUGUUCGGAGAGAGCGCUCUGUGUUUCCAUUGACUGUAAUAACUCCACGAGGUCCUGGCAUCUUGAGCUUGAGGUAUGCAUAAUGCGGUAUCGCAUUGAAUCUAGCAAAUUCGGUUCGCCCGAGCAGCGCGUGACAACCACUACGAAACAGGACUAUAUCGAAGAUUAACUCUUCGCUUCGGAAGUUAUCCGGGGAUCCGAAGACCACUUCCAGUGUAAUUGAGCCUGUGCAAUGGGCCUCUACACCUGGAAUGACGCCCUUAAAGGUCGUUUUUAUGGGUUUGAUCCUUGAGGGGUCUAUACCCAUUUUGCGCACUGUGUCCUGAUAAAGCAGGUUCAGGCUGCUGCCGCCAUCCAUAAGGACUCGAGUGAGGUGAAAUCCGUCGAUGAUUGGGUCUAGGACCAGUGCGGUGAAUCCACCAUGACGGAUACUAGUGGGGUAGUCCCUGCGAUCGAAGGUGAUCGAACAGGAGGACCAAGGGUUGAACUUUGGGGCGACUGGCUCCAACGCAUAUACGUCCCUGAGCGCACGCUUCCGCUCCCUCUUGGGGAUGUGGGUUGCGUAUAUCAUGUUCACCUUCCGCACUUGCGGGGGAAACCUCUUCUGUCCUCCAGUGUGCGGCUGUCGGGGCUCCUCCUCGUCAUCGCUAUGCGGCCCCUUGUCCUUGUUUUCGGCAAUUAACUUGCCGGCCUGCUUGAACACCCAACAAUCCCUGUUGGUGUGAUUGGCUGACUUGUCUAGGGUGCCGUGUAUUUGAUACGAGCGAUCGAAUAUACGGUCCAAGCUGGACAGACCCGGCGUACUUUGUUUGAAUGGCUUUUCCCGCUGACCGGGUUUAGAGCCUUUGAAUCCGGCAUUGACUGCUGUAUCCUCAGUAUUUUCGCUGUUAAUGCGGCGCUUAUGCUUGUUGCGACGUGACCUGCUAUUGCCGUCCUUGGUAUCUGAGGUACCAUGGUUCUUUGAUAUGUUAUUACUGCGAGCCAGCCAGCUGGCUUCUCCCGCACAAAAGCGGGUCAUGAGUGUUGUGAGAGCUGCCAUAGAUUUCGUCUUUUCCUGACCAAGGUGCUGGGCUAGCCACUCGUCUCGGAUGUUAUGCUUGAAAGCCGCUAAGGCCUCCGCAUCCGGACAGUCGAUGAUUUGAUUUUUCUUUGUAAGGAACCGAGUCCAGAAUUGCCUGGCCGACUCUUCUGGCUGCUGAAUUAUGUGGCUCAAAUCAUCGGCAUCUGGUGGUCGCACAUAAGUGCCCUGAAGUUGUCAAGGAAUGCAGCUUCCAGAUCUUCCCAACAGCUAAUGGAGUCCGCUGGCAAGCUGUUAAGCCAAUGCUGCGCUGGUCCUUUGAGCUUUAGUAGGACGUAUUUGAUGGCGUGUAAGUCAUCGCCGCGGGCCAUGUGGAUGUGGAGGAGGAAGUCCUCAAUCCAUACGGCGGGAUCUGUUGUGCCAUCGUAUGAUUCAAUAUUUACAGGUUUGAAACCUUCUGGGAAUUGAUGUUCCAUUACUUCGUCUGUGAAGCAUAAGGGGUGUGCGGCGCCUCUGUAUUGGGCUAUAUCGCGAUGCAGCUCGAAUGGGUCUUGCCCGCUGUGUUCGGCCCGGCCGGAUUUGCUUUUACUAUAUCCGGCAUGACGUUUGUCAUCUCGCAGAGUGGUGCGCCCUCGUGAUUUGUAGAUCGAUCUUGAAUGCUUUACCUUGUCCUCCAAUAUGUCUCACAGGUCUAGCGUAUCUCCCCAUGCCUUUUUAUUUGAAUGGCGUUGGGGUGGAGGCUGAGCUUUUGGCUAGAAUGCCUCUCUAUCGCGGCCACGAGGUGGCCGAUCAGCCGUAUCAUACGCUUCUUCCUCCAGUCGGGGUAGUAACCUGCGCCUUGGGUAACUCUUGGAGGGGCGCUCGAGUUUAUAUUCCUCGGCCGCGAGGACUUCAGUCCAUUUGUCAGCUAGCAGAUCUUGAUCAUCUUGAAGAUGCUGCUGCUUUUUCUUCAGGCUAUUUGCCGUGGCAUAAGCCGGCGCUUGAAGCGCUCUUGUUCGACGGGAUCCUCUGGUACGGUGAAUUCAUCAUCGCCGAGGCUUGCCUCGUCUUCGGAGGGGGCAUGUGAUUGUCAUCCUCCUCCUCUCCAUCUACCGCUCUCUCAGGAGAGCUGGCUCCUCCAUCCUCCUGCUCUGAAUCUUGCUGGAGGGGUUUGUUGUUUUCUUCGGCACUAUCCGGAGUGUUAUUAUCUCAUGUGCCGGUAUCACCACUUUUGCUUUGGCGGGACUUAGAGCGGCGCCGCUGACGUCGGCGUUUGGGUUGCUUCUUAGAGGGGUCAUCCUCCGCUAUCCCGUCGCCAUUGCCUUCUUUGGGUGUAUCCACCAUGUAUAUAUCGUAUGAUGAGGUGGCUUUCCAGUGCCCUAUAGGUGCUGGUUCAUGUUCAUCUCCUACAUCGUCGUCCAUACCGUUGAUGUCUUCGGAGUCGAAGUCGAGCAUGUCGGUUAAAUCAUCGAUGGUGGCUACAAAGUGGGUGGUGGGUGGGCGUCGAAUUUAUUCGUCGUCCGCAUCCCAAUCCCGUUGGCCAUAAUCCGGCCAGGGCUCUCCUGACAAAGAGAGAGACCUUAGUGAAUUCAGAAUGUCGCCGAAGGGCGAGUGCUGAAAGAUAUCUGCAACGGUGAAUUCCAUGAUCGGCGCCCAAUCGGAUUCGAUUGGCAGGGGCGCGGAUGGUUCGGAGUCCGGCACCUUGGAGUCACGGGCUGCGCAGAGGGUUAGGCUGGUGUUCGGCUCGAUCGCCGUUGAGACUGCAGCCCCUGAGGCGGUGUCUAACCACCCAUCCUCGACUGGUGCAGUUGGCUCCGAGCUAAGGGUCGGAGCUGUUGCGGGCGCAGCCUCUGGGGUACUGUUCAGCGGCAGAGCUAGGUCACACCCAUUGCGACAGUGCGGCGCGCCUGGCUGUGGCUCGAAUCCGUCGAAGAUCAAGUCUCCGCGGAUGUCGGCCGUGUAAUUCAAACUUCCAAAUAUGACCUGAUGGCCAGGGGCGUAGCUUUCAAUCUGCUCCAGAUGGCCAAGCGAAUUAGCCUGCAGUGCAAAGCCGCCGAAUACGAAGAUUUGUCCGGGGAGAAAAGUCUCACCCUAGACCGCAUCGCUAUCGAUGAUAGUAGGAGCCAUCAAGCCUAACGGCGACGGCACAGAGGAACUCUCAAUGAAAGCACCAAUGUCGGUGUCAAAAUCAGCGGAUCUCGGGUACAGGGUCCCGAACUGUGCGUCUAGGCCAGAUGGUAACAGGAGGCAGGGGACACGAUGUUUUACCCAGGUCUGGGCCCUCUUGAUGGAGGUAAAACCCUACGUCCUGCUUGAUUGAUAUUGAUGAUAUGGGUAGUACAAGAGUAGAUCUACCAUGAGAUCAGAUAGGCUAAACCCUAGAAGCUAGCCUAUGGUAUGAUUGUAUGUUAUGGUUGUUGUCCUACGGACUAAAACCCUUCGGUUUAUAUAGACACCGGAGAGGGUUAGGGUUACAGAAGGUCGGUUACAAAGGAGGAGAUAUCCAUAUCCGUAUUGCCUUGCUUGCCUUCUACGCCAAGUAGAGUCCCAUCCGGACACGAGACGAAGUCUUGUAUCUUCAUAGUCUAACAGUCCGGCCAAUGGAGAUAGUCCAGCUGUCCGGAGACCCCCUAAUCCAGGACUCCCUCACUCACUUUUAUCAUUAGUUACCUUGCUAUUUUUAUAUUUUCAGAUUACAAAUACCUUUAUCUACUAUCCAUAUACCACUUGUAUUACCAUCUCUUCGCCGAACUAGUGCACCUAUACAAUUUACCAUUGUAUUGGGUGUGUUGGGGACACAAGAGACUCUUUGUUAUUUGGUUGCAGGGUUGCUUGAGAGAGACCAUCUUCAUCCUAUGCCUCCUACGGAUUGAUAAACCUUAGGUCAUCCACUUGAGGGAAAUUUGUUACUGUCCUACAAACCUCUGCACUUGGAGGCCCAACAACAUCUACAAGAAGAAGGUUGUGUAGUAGACAUCAGUCUACCACUGGAAGAGGUCAUGCAACUUACUCCACUAUGCUAGAUCCCAUAAUAGCUUGUGGCUGCACACUGAAGUUUCAAGCAUGAAUAAUCUUAUGAUCCCUUUGACCUGGGUGGCGGACCAUAGGAGGAUCGCACGGUAUAACCCCGGGAUCUCCUAGGACAACACUGGUAUAACCCCAUGUGCCCACAAGCAAUCCACCCAGAUGUGUAUUAAAAUUGCCACCUUGAGUUUAACCAUUAAUUAACAAACUCACAUAUGUCAUGGAUACUCUCAAACCCAAACCACGUCUACGAGCAUAGCUUGGCAAUAUAAGCAUAACGUAAUAGUAACUCCCAAGGGUUUGAUAAUAAACAGGUAAUAGGUUCUACCUCAUCUGCUACUUCCCAAAACCCACAUGGUAAAACACAUCCUACUCAUGCAAUGUUUGAGGAUUGAAACUAAUGCAUAAAAACUGGGUAUGAAAGAGUAUGAUCAAUGUGUUACUUGCCUUGCUGACGAUCUGCAAAUCCUAAAGACUCGUGGUAGCACGCUUCGCACUCCGGGUAUUCUAUCGCAAACAAAUAAUAGCAUACAUAAGCAAUCAAGCAAAGAAGCAUGGGUAAAACUCAAAUAAGAAGAUCUAACCAGAAAGUGCAACUAAAGAACUCCGGUUUGCAAAAAGAAUCAAAUCAAACGGAGCAAGCAAACUCAAACUAGAAAGAAACAAAAUCCGAUACUAAUCUGGACUAAAGUCAAAUUUUACAGUACGAAAAUCUUGUUCAAGUUGGUUAAACAGAAAGAGGGCUUCGAGACGAAGAUAUAGGUGCAUGUUUCACCCGAUUUGGAUAAAUGAGCGAAAAAAUAAACUAAAACGAAGAUUAGUGCAGGAAUCACGAUCGAAAAUAAUCACGGAAAAACCCUGGAAAAAAUGAGACGAACAGGCUAAGGAACAAUACUUCAUUGUCUGCGGCUAACUAACGAACAACGUUCGUUAAAACGAAUGUACGGACGAACGUCCGCAAUUUAACUAAACUGAGGAAAAAUCGAACAAAACAGAUCUAAAUAAAAAAACCGAGAUCUAGGGUUUCGAAAAAAAUGGUGGUUUUUUCCCGAGAAAAACCGGACGGCGCCGGCUACCUCGGCGGUGGGGUUGGCGGCGGCAGCGGCGUGAGGCAGCGAAGGCUGGCGGCGGCGGCUGGCGCUGGGAUCAAGGCGGCGGCGCUAGGGUUAGGCGGGCGGGGCACGGCGCGACUUGGGCGUCGGGGCGGGCGGCUCGGGCGGGCUUUAAAGGCCUCCGGGAGCAAUGUCCUGGACGGACAUGGCUCGUUAGGUCAGUGACUUUUUUUAAAAUAAAUCCUGACACGGAAAAACAAAUAAAAGAAAUACUAAACUGAGUCCAAAUAUCCUGAAAUAAAUUUUCACGGUCCUCUAAUAAUAUUGCGCACAAAGUGAACAUUUAUUUCGGCCUCUAUUGCAAUUUUCAAAAACGCAUAUUUUUCCUAAUUCAAAUAAAAUAGCAACUAAAAUCCAAAUAAAAUUACUUAUUUGAUUUUAAUAUUUUUCCUCUGAUAUUUCAUUUAUUUUGGGGAAGUCAUAUUAUCUCCUCUCAUAUAUUUUAAUUAGAAAUAUUUUCAGAGAGGAAAAUAAUUAAAACCAAAAUGAUCCUUGUUUUUAUAUUCGAUAAAAUUCAAAUAUGAAAAACAUGAAAUCCCCAACUCUCUCUGUGGGUCCUUGAGUUGCUUAGAAUUUCGAGGAUCGCAAAGCAGAAUUGCAGAAAAAUAUGAUAUGCAUGAAUGAUCUAUGUAUAACAUUCCAAAUUGAAAAUUUGGGAUGUUACAAACCUACCCCCCUUAAGAUGAAUCCCGCCCUCGAGAUUCGGGUUGGCUAGAAAAUAGGUGUGGGUGGUCUUUGUGUAGAUCAUCCUCUCGCUCCUAGGUGGCUUCAUGCUCGGUAUGGUGGCUCCACUGAACUUUGCAAAACUUAAUAACCUUGCUGCGGGUAACUCGGCUGGCAAACUCGAGAAUCUUGACUGGUUUCUCCUCAUAUGUCAAAUCACUAUCCAACUGAAUUGCUUCCAGGGGCACUGUAUCUCUUAGAGGGAUAUCGGCCAUCUCUGCAUGGCACUUCUUCAACUGGGAAAUGUGAAACACGUCAUGAAGUCCUGACAGUCCUUCGGGUAACUCCAACUUGUAGGCUACCUCUCCCAUAUGUUCCAAAACUCGGUAUGGUCCUACAAAUCUCGGGGCUAACUUUCCCUUGACUCCAAAUCGCUUAACUCCUUAGAGCGGUGACACACAGUGCUCCCUCGGUGGUUUUGGUAAUUAAUGUCAACAUAUCUCUUGUUGGACUAACACUUUUGCCUAGUAUGUUUCAGAUAAGUUCAACAAUGGAGUGGCAUGGACUAGAGGAUGUGGAACCCCUUCAAGAUGCUAAGGACAAAGGAUUGGCUCAAGCCUCAAGAUCAAGACUCUACAUUUUCUAUUUUAGUGAUCCAAGAUCACAUUGAGUCUAUAGGAAAAGCCAAUACUAUCAAGAGGGGAUGAGGUGUUGCUUAAUGGCUUGCUUGCUCAAAGUGCUUAGUGAUAUGCUCCAAAACCUUCAACUACCUUCCCACAUCCACAUAUGACCUAAACCAAAAGUCAAACUCGGCCCCACCGAUUCUAUCUAUCCAGCGCCACCGAGUUUCAGAUGUCAUAGCCACUGCCACAAACCCUAGCAAAUUGGUUUCACUGAUAGGGAUCUCGGUCUCACCGAGAUGGGAUUGUAAUCUCUCUGUGUAUGUCCAUUACAAAAAUCGGUCUCACCGAGUUUGAGCAAUCGGUACUACCGAGAUUACAAUGCAAACCCUCUGGUUAGCUUAUUACCAAGAUCGGUCCCACCGAGUUUAUGUAAUCGGUCUCACCGAGUUUGCCUGACCAACUCUUUGGUUAGCUUAUUACCAAAAUUGGUCCCACCGAGUUUGUGUAAUCGGUCACACCGAGAUUACGUUAUGCCCUAACCCUAACCAUAUCGGUCCUACCGAGUUGCAUCUCAGUCCCACCGAAAAUCCUAACGGUCACUAGGUUUGCUGAAUCGGUCCGACCGAGUUUAACCAUUCGGUCCCACCAAAUUUGGCAAAUUGUGUGUAACAGUUAGAUUUUGUGUGGAGGCUAUAUAUACCCCUCCACCCACUCUUCAUUCAUGGAGAGAGCCAUCAGAACAUACCUACACUUCCAAUACACAUUUUCUGAGAGAGAACCACCUACACUUGUGUUGAGGUCAAGAUAUUCCAUUCCAAUCAUAUGAAUCUUGAUCUCUAGCCUUCCCCAAGUUGCUUUCCACUCAAAUCUUCUUUCCACCAAAUCCAAAUCCUGUGAGAGAGAGUUGAGUGUUGGGGAGACUAUCAUUUGAAGCACAAGAGCAAGGAGUUCAUCAUCAACACACCAUCUGUUACUUCUUGGAGAGUGGUGUCUCCUAGAUUGGCUAGGUGUCACUUGGGAGCCUCCGACAAGAUUGUGGAGUUGAACCAAGGAGUUUGUAAGGGCAAGGAGAUCGCCUACUUCGUGAAGAUCUACCGCUAGUGAGGCAAGUCCUUCGUGGGCGACGGCCGUGAUGGAAUAGACAAGGUUGCUUCUUCGUGGACCCUUCGUGGGUGGAGCCCUCCGUGGACUCGCGCAACCCUUACCCUCCAUGGGUUGAAGUCUCCAUCAAUGUGGAUGUACGAUAGCACCACCUAUCGGAACCAUGACAAAAACAUCCGUGUCUCCAAUUGCGUUUGAAUACUCCAAACCCUUCUCUUUACAUUCUUGCAAGUUGCAUGCUUUACUUUCCGCUGCUCAUAUACUCAUUGCAUGCUUUAUUGAUAUGUAUUGUGUUUGUUAAACGUGUGCUUAAACUCCACUUAAACUUAAGAAUAUUAAAAACUGCAACUUUUGGCACUUAGUGUCUAAUCACCCCCCUCUAGACACCUCUUCUCGAUCCUUUCAAUUGGUAUCAGAGCUUUGGUCUCCAUUGGCUUGGUUUAAACACCAUUGGAGGAAGAUGGAUGUGUCUACUUUGGGGAGUCUUAGACAUAGAGUGUCUAUUCUUGAUGGAGAGUAUUUUCAUGAGUGGAAAAAUGAAAUGCUUGAGAUUUUCAAUGAAUAUCAUUUGAACAGGUACAUUACUAGCCCUUGUGCACCUCAUGUUGAUCCUUUGCACCCUACCCUAGAUGAAGAUAUUGACAUGAUUCGCAAUCUUAGAACUGUUGAGCUCAUCAUUAGAGGCUUGCCUAGAAACUUGAUUAGAUGUUUGCCUACUCUCAAGUGUGCCUACACCAUAUGGAGUUUUCUUGAGGAACGAUUUCCAGAUUAUUCCUUGAAAAAUUUAGAUGAAAUUCUCCAUAAGUCUAUUGCCUUGAGUAAGAUGAACUCUAGUGAUCCUAGCCUUGGUGAUUGUCUAUUUGAGCUUACCAAUCUCAUGCGUGCUAAAGGAAAUGUUGGAAUCAUUAGCGAUAUCAUAUCCGAAGCUAUUAGAAUUCAUAAAGGUAACCAUUGUGAUGAUCAUUUAUCUAAUGAAUUACCCUCUCUAGGAAUUGAUCAAUCACAAGAUGAUGUUGAACAUGGAUACUAUGAUGAAGAUGAUGAUAGUGACUAUGAUCUUGAUGAUGCAAUGAGGAAUUUUGGUCUUAUGGCAAAUCUUCGCGGCUACAUGGCUGGAGGAAAGGAAUGGGUCCUUGAUAGUGGAUGUACUGAUCAUAUGACCGGAGAUAAAGAUAUGUUCCGUGAGCUGGCUGAAAACAACGGCCCUCGAAAAUAUGUCACUUUUGGUGAUAAUUCAAAGGGUAAGGUGGUUGGCCUUGGUAAGGUGGCCAUCUCACAUGAUAGCUCCAUACAAAAUGUCAUGCUCGUUGAAUCCCUUGGAUACAAUUUACUUUCAGUUUCUAGACUUGCGGAUUUCGGUUUUAAUGUCUUAUUCACUGAAGUAGAUUGCCAAGUGUUUCGUAGAGACAAUCAUAAAAUGGUCUUUACCGGUAUACGUAGAGGACAUCUUUACAUUGUUGAUUUCACUAAAAAGGCUCAACCUAGAACUUGCUUAAUUACCAAAUCUUCUAAAGGCUAGUUGUGGCAUAGAAGACUAGGUCAUGUUGGUAUGCGAAAUCUUGAUAAGCUUAUUAAAGGUGAUCAUAUCCUUGGAAUAAAAGAUGUCAUAUUUGACAAGGAUAGACUUUGUAGUGCUUGUCAAGCAGGGAAACAAGUUGGAGGAAGUCACCGCGCGAAGAACAUCAUGACCACAAGAAGACCACUCAAGCUACUUCACAUGGAUCUCUUUGGUCCAAAUGCCUACAAGAGUCUUGGUGGUAACUCAUUUGGUCUAGUCAUAGUUGAUGAUUUUUCAAGAUUUACGUGGGUGUUCUUUCUUGAUGACAAAUCGCAGGUCCAAAAGAUCUUCAAAAACUUUGCUAGGAAGGCCCAAAAUCAGUUUGACGUGAAGAUCAAGAAGGUUCGGAGCGACAAUGGAAUGGAGUUCAGGAACGCAAAUGUGGACACCUUUCUUGAUGAAGAAGGGAUUUCACACGAGUUCUCGGCUACGUACACACCUCAACAAAAUGGAGUUGUUGAAAGGAAGAACCAGACUCUUAUCGAGAUGGCAAGAACGAUGAUUGAUGAGUACAAAACGCCAAAGCACUUUUGGGCGGAAGCGGUUGAGAUAGCUUGUCAUGCAACAAAUCGCUUGUAUCUUCACAAGCUACUUGGCAAGACGGCAUACGAGCUCCUCACCGGUAACAAACCCCAAGUUGGAUACUUUCAAGUAUUCGGCUCAAAGUGCUACAUUCUUGAUAAGCAUCGUCAUUCUAAAUUUGCUCCUAAAUCUCAUGAAGGUUUCCUACUUGGUUAUGGCUCAAACUCUCACACUUACCGUGUCUACAACAAUUUCUCCCGAAAGGUUGAAGAGACGGUAGAUGUGAAGUUUGAUGAAUCUAACGGCUCGCAAGUAGAGCAAUUGCCGAUUGAUGUAGGAGACAAAGACCCUUCGGAAGCAAUUCAAGACUUGUCCAUUGGCAAGAUUCGUCCAACGAAAGUGAAGGAGAGUAUCUCGUCCGUCCAAGUGGAAGCUUCUACCUCACGACAAGGUGAACCAAGAGUUGAUACGGAAGCAUCCACAAGUGGGACACGCCAAGAUGAAGAAAACGAGGAAGCGCACCAAGAUGAACAUCAACAACCUCCUUCUCCACCACGACAAGAGAACGACAACGUCAACAAUGAAGAAGGCCAAGAAGAAGCACAAGAUGAAGAGGAUGUUCCACCAUGACCCAAGCAAAAGCUUUCACGAGUUCGAGCAAGAAUUGCUAAGGAUCAUCCCGUCGAGCAAAUCUACAAUGAUAUCCAAACCGGGAGAAUCACUCGCUCUAAAACUCGUUUAGCUAACUUUUGUGAACAUUACUCAUUCAUCUCUAGCAUUGAACCUAUGAAGGUUGAAGAAGCAUUGGAGGAUCCGGACUGGAUAAACGCUAUGCAUGAAGAGCUACACAACUUUGAGAGAAAUCAAGUGUGUACAUUGGUCGAGAAGCCCGACAACAACCACAACAUCAUUGGUACCAAAUGGGUGUUUCGCAACAAGCAAGAUGAAGAUGGACAAGUGGUUUGCAACAAAGCACGUCUCGUCGCCCAAGGCUACACACAAGUUGAAGGUAUGGACUAUGGUGAGACAUAUGCUCUCAUUGCUAGACUUGAGUCCAUUCGCAUCCUACUUGCUUAUGCUAAUCACCACGAUAUCACCUUGUACCAAAUGGACAUUAAAAGUGCUUUUCUAAAUGGAAAAAUCGAGGAGGAAGUUUAUGUUAAGCAACCUCCCGGCUUCGUCAAUCCUAAGAAACCUAAUCAUGUUUACAAACUUUACAAAGCCCUUUAUGGUCUUAAACAAGCUCCUAGAGCAUGGUAUAAAUGCUUGACCAAGUUCCUUAUUGAAAAAGGCUUUGAAAUUGGUAAAACUGAUUCUACUCUUUUUACUAAAAGGGUUAAUGGAGAACUAUUUGUGUGCCAAAUUUAUGUUGAUGAUAUCAUAUUUGGUUCAACUAACCCUCAUUUUAGUGAGAAGUUUGGAAAGCUAAUGUCAGAGAAGUUUGAGAUGUCUAUGAUGAGUGAACUCAAAUUCUUUCUUGGUUUGCAAAUCAAGCAAACUAAGGAAGGUACCUUUGUCUCUCAAACGAAGUACACCAAGGACUUAUUCAAGAAGUUCAAUAUGCAAGUAUGCAAAGGUAUGACUACACCCAUGCCUACUAGUGGACAUCUUGAUUUGACCAAAGAUGGUGAACCGGUUGAUCAAAAGGUUUCUCGCUCUAUGAUUGGUUCAUUGUUAUAUCUAUGUGCCUCUCGUCCCGAUAUUAUGCUAAGUGUGUGCAUGUGUGCACGAUAUCAAGCUGCUCCUAAAGAAUGUCAUCUUAAGGCUGUGAAAAGGAUAGUGAGAUACCUAAUCCAUACAGCAAAUUUUGGCAUUUGGUAUCCUAAGAGGUCCUCUUUUGAUCUUGUUGGCUACUCCGAUUCGGACUAUGCCGGAGACAAGGUUGAUAGAAAAUCCACUUCAGGUACUUGUCAAUUCCUUGGUAGAUCUCUUGUGUCUUGGUCUUCCAAGAAACAAAACUCGGUAUCCUUAUCCACCGCCGAAGCGGAAUACAUUGCCGCUGGUUCAUGUUGUGCUCAAUUACUUUGGAUGACCCAAACUCUUAAAGAUUAUGGGAUAUAUGUGAAACAUGUUCCAUUGCUAUGUGAAAAUGAAAGUGCUAUUAAGAUUGCUCACAAUCCCAUGCAACAUUCUCGAACUAAGCAUAUUGAAGUUCGUCAUCAUUUCAUUUGAGAUCAUGUUGCAAAAGGGGACAUUAACCUUAAGCAUGUUCGCACCGAUAAGCAAUUGGCGGAUAUAUUCACUAAACCACUUGAUGAGAAAGUGUUUUGCAGGUUGAGAGGUGAAUUGAAUAUCAUUGAUGCUUCAAACUUGGAGUAGGAACUCCAUUUGAUACAUGCGGGGCAUGAGCCUAUGACUAAUCCUCGAUAUUUCUCUUAUGAUGCUAUUCAUAUGUCUUGGAUAUAUUUGUACCUUGCAUGUUAUCUAACUCAUGUAGGUACUUGGUUGAAUCUAAAUCUAUGAGAUUGCUACUCACUCACAUCUUGAGAAAUCUCUACAUCACCAAGUCUCUACACAAUGGUUGUUGAAGACAAGGAAGCACGAAACCAUUCAAACAUAUCCUUUGGCAAAUUCUAUGUUGAGUCUCAUGAUUGUCAUUUUGGAUACACAAGUGCUCUUCCUUGCAAAGCUAACCCAUGUAGGUAAAUGAACUCAAACUCCAAGUGGUACUCCCAACCCUUAAUGAACUACAUCAACCUUGAGCAACCCACACAAGUUCAACUACAUGAGCAAGAUCAACACCACCACCCAAGGUAUGUUAUUCCAUCUUAGAGAAGCUUUACUCCAAGUCAUGAGUCAAAGCAACUCGACAAGAUGUGAAUACAUCAAAAGGCUUAAACGAAAAAUGGUAACCCCAUUUUGAGCUUAAACGAUGAGUAUGACCUAUGAUCAAGUGCUCUCACUUGACUCCUAAGUCAAUAUACUCUAACAUAGGUGACUUUGUCGCCGACCAUCUCUAGAUGAAGUUCUCGUGUGUGUCUCCGUGCUUUUGUCUCUUGCAUAUUUGUUUUCCCUUUCAAAAAAAACUUCAUCUAGAACUUUUAGUUUCUUUUCUUUCCUUUUUGUUCUGCAUUUUCUGCAUCCAAUUCAUUGCGAAUCUUUCAGUAAAUUCCUUGCAUAUCCUUGUGAGAUCUUACUUGUCUAGUGAGCUGAGGUGACUAGUGGUUUCACUCUAAUGAACUCGGUCACACCGGUUUGUUCUCUUCGGCCCAACUAAAAUCUUUUGGUGCAACCGAAGCACACAACUCGGAGUCACCGAUUCCACCACAGGAAAACCAACUUGCCACUUAUUCCUGAUUUCUGUUUGCUCCAGCUCCACUCAAUGAUUCUUGUCCUCUACCAACAUCAUAUUAGGCAUGCUGCUUUGCUCUGUGAUUCGAGGACAAACCCAUUUGUAUCACAUGUCCAGAAGAGCCCUUAGAAAUUGAUGUCAAAGGGGGAGAGAGAGAUCACAUCAAAACUUAAUCCUUCCUAUAGGGGGAGAAAGAGAGAAUACUCAGGGGGAGAAAGUUUCUCAACUAGGAGAAAGUAAUAUCAUCAAAGACCCCAGAUGCUUGGUGUUCAAGAGGAGAGGUGUCACAUGUCUUUAAGAGGGGAAAGACAUGUUUGGUUGCUUGCUUUAGCUCAAGCUCUGUUGUUUCCUUUUUUGUUGCUCUGAUUUUCUGUUCCCUAUCUUCUCCCAAUAUCCCAUGCAGAUUCUGGGGGAGCAAGACAUCUAAGGGAAGGAAAUCUCUGAUUUUAUUGCAUAUCUUUACCUUUGGGGACAUGUCUAUAUCCAAUGUGGUACUUAGUACUCACUCUACAUGUCAUCCCAGUCUUGGUUCUCUUGUGGUUUCUCUUGCUUGCUCUAGUCAGUAGGUGCAUCUGUGUUAUUUAACCUUGUUUGCGUAGGUUCAUCCCAUCCUAAGCCAACUCAAGACCACAAGGUAAGUAUAUGCAUCACAGUCAUGUGAAUGAGAAGUUCUUGCUGAUGUACAUACUGUUUGCAAGAAGGACUCAUGAGCAUGAAGGUACAUUUUUCACAUUCACAUCAUUUGCUCUGAUGCAUAUAGCCAAGAUACAUGUAACACAUUGCUUACUCUGUCAUGUUUACGCAUUCACAUGCUCCUAUAUUCAAUAUUCACAUGAUUGCAUACAUGUAGGGGGAGCCUAUGCAUGUUACAUGUCUUUUCAAAGCUUUACUUGCUAUUCUCUAUAUCUUUAUCUAAAGCUUUGAUGUAUGUUGUCAUCAAUUACCAAAAAGGGGGAGAUUGAAAGCACAAGUGCUCCCUGGGUGGUUUUGGUAAUUAAUGUCAACAUAUCUCUUGUUGGACUAACACGUUUACCUAGUAUGUUUCAGAUAAGUUCAACAAUGGAGUGGCAUGGACUAGAGGAUGUGGAACCCCUUCAAGAUGCUAAGGACAAAGGAUUGGCUCAAGCUUCAAGAUCAAGACUCUACAUUUUCUAUUUUAGUGAUCCAAGAUCACAUUGAGUCUAUAGGAAAAGCCAAUACUAUCAAGAGGGGAUGAGGUCUUGCUUAAUGGCUUGCUUGCUCAAAGUGCUUAGUGAUAUGCUCCAAAACCCUCAACUACCUUCCCACAUCCACAUAUGACCUAAACCAAAAGUCAAACUCGGCCCCACCGAUUCUAUCUAUCCGGCGCCACCGAGUUUCAGAUGUCAUAGCCACUGCCACAAACCCUAGCAAAUCGGUUUCACCGAUAGGGAUCUCGGUCUCACCGAGAUGGGAUUGUAUUCUCUCUGUGUAUGUCCAUUACCAAAAUCGGUCUCACCGAGUUUGAGCAAUCGGUACUACUGAGAUUACAAUGCAAACCCUCUGGUUAGCUUAUUACCAAAAUUGGUCCUACCGAGUUUGUGUAAUCGGUCUCACCGAGUUUGCCUGACCAACUCUUUGGUUAGCUUAUUACCAAAAUCGGUCCCACCGAGUUUGUGUAAUCGGUCACACCGAGAUUACGCUAUGCCCUAACCCUAACCAUAUCGGUCCUACCGAGUUGCAUCUCAGUCCCACCGAAAAUCCUAACGGUCACUAGGUUUGUUGAAUCGGUCCGACCGAGUUUAACCAUUCAGUCCCACCGAAUUUGGAAAAUUGUGUGUAACAGUUAGAUUUUGUGUGGAGGCUAUAUAUACCCCUCCACCCACUCUUCAUUCGUGGAGAGAGCCAUCAGAACAUACCUACACUUCCAAUACACAUUUUCUGAGAGAGAACCACCUACACUUGUGUUGAGGUCAAGAUAUUCCAUUCCAAUCAUAUGAAUCUUGAUAUCUAGCCUUCCCCAAGUUGCUUUCCACUCAAAUCUUCUUUCCACCAAAUCCAAAUCCUGUGAGAGAGAGUUGAGUGUUGGGGAGACUAUCAUUUGAAGCACAAGAGCAAGGAGUUCAUCAUCAACACACCAUCUGUUACUUCUUGGAGAGUGGUGUCUCCUAGAUUGGCUAGGUGUCACUUGGGAGCCUCCGACAAGAUUGUGGAGUUGAACCAAGGAGUUUGUAAGGGCAAGGAGAUCGCCUACUUCGUGAAGAUCUACCGCUAGUGAGGCAAGUCCUUCGUGGGCGACGGCCGUGAUGGAAUAGACAAGGUUGCUUCUUCGUGGACCCUUCGUGGGUGGAGCCCUCCGUGGACUCGCGCAACCCUUACCCACGGUGGGUUGAAGUCUCCAUCAAUGUGGAUGUACGAUAGCACCACCUAUCGGAACCACGACAAAAACAUCUGUGUCUCCAAUUGCGUUUGAAUACUCCAAACCCUUCUCUUUACAUUCUUGCAAGUUGCAUGCUUUACUUUCCGCUGCUCAUAUACUCAUUGCAUGCUUGCUUGAUAUGUAUUGUGUUUAUUAAACUUGUGCUUAAACUCCACUUAAACUUAAGAAUAUUAAAAACUGCAACUUUUGGCACUUAGUGUCUAAUCACCCCCCCUCUAGACACCUCUUCUUGAUCCUUUCACCAGUCCACCAGAAAUGCUCCCGCAAAUCCAAAUUCAUCUUGGUGUUUCCGGGGUGUAUCGAGUAUGGCGAGUCAUGAGCUUCCUGAAGUAUCAACUUCCUGAUCUCUGCAUUAUUUGGCACAUAUACACGGUCCUCAAACCACAAGGUGUCGUGCUCAUCCUCACGAAAACCUUUGGCUUUACCUUCACUCAUCUUCUCUUUUAUCUCGGCAAUUUCUUUGUCAUCCUUCUGGGCUUCUCGAAUCUUUCCCAACAAUGUAGACUGAACUUCCAUUGCUGCAACAAAACCUCUAGUAAUAAUCUCCAAAGGAAGCUCCCUGAGAUCUUCUGUUAACUCCUUUGGCAAACCUCCUGUUACUAAGGUAUUGGCAUAACUCUUCUGGCUCAAAGCAUCUGCUACGACAUUGGCCUUGCCUGGGUGAUAGUGCAACUUCAUAUCGUAAUCUUUUAUAAGCUCCAACCAUCUCUUUUGCCUGAGAUUCAACUCCUUUUGUGUGAAAAUGUACUUCAAACUCUUAUGAUCUGUGUACACAUCACAAUGAUUUCCCAUAAGAAAGUGUCUCCAGGUCUUGAGUGCAUACACUACAGCUGCUAACUCCAAGUCAUGUGUGGCAUAAUUCAACUCAUGCGGUCGAAGUUGACGUGAGGCAUAUGAACCAACUCUUCCAUAUUGCAUAAGUACACCUCCAAGUCCUAAGCGAGAUGCGUCGCAAUACACUUGGAAAUCCUUGCGUAUAUCUGGCAGAAUCAGCACUGGGGCUGUAGUCAAACAUUUCUUUAACUCCUGAAAACUUGCCUCACAUUCAUCUGUCCAUUUGAACUUAGUGUCCUUCUUCAACAACUCCGUCAUGGGCUUCGCAAUCUUAGAGAAUUCUCAGUGAAUCUCCGAUAAUAUCCCGCGAGUCCCAGAAAACUACGGAUCUCUGCAACUGAGGUGGGUGCCAACCACUCAGUGACUAACUUAACCUUGGUGGGGUCUACUGUUAUACCUUCUCCUGAUAUAAUAUGUCCAAGGAAUCCAACUUCCUUCAACCAAAACUCACAUUUGUUGAACUUGGCGUAUAACUGAUGUUCCCUGAGCUUCUCGAGAACUAAAUGCAAAUGCUCCUUGUGCUCCUCUUCAUUCUUCGAGUAUACCAGAAUAUCAUCAAUAAACACCACAACAAAGUUAUCCAAGAACUCCAUGAAUACCUUGUUCAUCAUACUCAUGAAAUAGGUAGGGGCGUUAGUCAAUCCGUAUGACAUAACCGUGUACUCAUAUAGCCCGUACCUUGUGGUGAAGGCUGUCUUAGGUAUAUCUUGUUCUCGAAUCUUCAGCUGGUGGUAUCCUGAUCGAAGAUCGAUCUUGGAAAAGACUUUUGCUCCUUGCAGCUGGUCAAACAGAUCAUUGAUCAUCGGCAGUGGGUAUUUGUUCUUGAUUGUUACUUCAUUCAAUGCCCGAUAAUCAACAACCAUUCUCAGAGACUUAUCCUUCUUCUCAACCAGGACUGGGGCUCCCCAUGGUGACGAACUUUGUCGAAUGUAACCUUUCUCCAAUAACUCCUUGAUCUGCUUCUUAAUCUCCUCCAGAUCAUUUGCGGGCAUCCUGUAUGGUCUCUUUGAUAUUGGUCCGGUGCCUGGCAAUAACUCUAUCAAAAAUGCAAUGUCUCGAUCUGGGGGCAUGCCUGGUAGUACCUAUGAAAAUACAUCUGGGUAAUCCUUCACUACAGGCACUUCUUCCUAAACAACUCCCGUGAGAGAAUUUACGUGAGUACUCUUAGGAGUAUGCCUGGAUACAUACUUAAUCCUUUUUCCCUCCGGGGUGGUGAGUAGAAUUGACCUACUAGCGCAAUCAAUGUUUCCUCCAUACUUCGAUAACCAAUCCAUCCCCAGUAUCACAUCCAAUCCUUGGGAUUCCAAAAUUAUUAGGUCUGAGGGGAAAACAUGGCUGCCAAUGGUUAAAGGUAACCGGUCGCACCAUCGGCUGGCCAUAUACUCUGCACCUGGUGAGAUCACUAGCAGGCGUGUCCUAAAGGCUAAGGUGGGUAACUUAAACUUGUCCACAAAUCCCCUUGAAAUUUAUGAAUGUGAUGCACCAGUAUCAAAAAAGAACGAGAGCGGUAAAUGACUUAACCAAAAACUUACCGAUAACUGCAUCUGGCUGCUCUUCAACCUCCUCCACGUUCACGUGGUUCACUUGUCCCCUGUUGAAAGGGUUGGGCUUCUUCCCAGAGCUUCCAUUACCAUUGCCAUUCUUCAACUCUGGACAAUCAUUGGCGUAGUGUCCAGUAUUCCCGCACUUGAAACAGGUAAUGUGACUCUGGUCCUUCUUGGCGGGUGUUGCUGGGUUAGAGCAGUUCUGAUUGCUGCUCGCUCCAUUCCCAUUCCCACUCUUUGGGCCACUGUGGUUAUGAGAACUUCCUCCAUUGUGAGUGUGGCCUCCAUGGUUAUGGGUAUAUCCUCCCGAGUUCGGGGUGAAACGGGGCUUCUGCUGAGCUCCAGAAUUGUACUUCCCUUGUCCAUACUUCCUCUUGCGGCUCUCAAUCUGCUGAUGCUUCCCUUCAAUCAUAGGAGACUUAUCUACCGACUCCCAGUAGUUGUUAAAUGUUGCCACCAUUAACUACAUGCUCAUCUCAUCAUUCAGCCCUUCCAUAAACUUCUCCUGCUUCACGGCAUCCGUGGCCACAUCAUCUGGGGCAUAGCGAGAUAACUUACUAAACUCGUCCACGUACUGAGCUACAGUAUGAUUCCCCUAGCGUAAGUUGUGAAACUCACGCUUCUUCAUGCUCACAGCUCUAGUUGAGACAUGGGUUGUGCUGAAAGCUUGCUGAAACUGCUCCCAAGUGACAUUGGCUAUAGGAAAAGUGGUUGUGUAAUUUUCCCACCAUGCGGCUGCGGGUCCAUCCAAUUGGUGUGCGGCAAAACGCACCUUCUCAGCAUCUGUGCAACCGGCAGUGGUUAACUCCCUUCCAAUCCUGCGUAGCCAGUCAUCCGCAACUAUGGGCUCAGUGCUACUGGAAAACACCGGCGGCUGUAACCUCAGAAAACAGGCUAAGUUGUCAACUGGAGGUGGUGGCGAAGGGUUGUUGUUGUUGUUGUUGUUGCCUUGGUUCUAAACUAACAACUGCAUCAAGGCAUUCUGCUGCUGGAUCAACUGAGUGAGCUCCUGUGGGAAGACAAAUCCGGGGUCACGUCUUGGAGGCAUCUGAUUGGUUUAGAGGGAAGAGACUAGAAUAGAAUGAGGUCUAAGGAGAAAGCACUACCCAUAUGCACAUGAGAUAAACACAAUCAUAUCAUAUCACUCAAUCAAUCAAGCAAGGGAAUACAAUCGAUCUAACUAUCGUUACAGUGCUCGGACUAUUUUAUAUACAUGGGGAAACACUACUGAUCAUAUGGUGGUCUACUAGAAAUUUUGAUCGGUGGAAGACUCCAUGAUAUCCGCUCCAGCUUCGUCUUCAUAGUCAUCAUCACUACCAUCAGGGUCGGAGUCGGUGUCGUCGAUGAUGAUGUAGUCUUCAGAAUGAAUCUCCUUAGGUUCGUCGUCUUCUCCUCCUGGUGCGGGGUCUCCCAUGAAAACUCCUAGCUUCCUCAUCAGGUCGUCAUUCAUCUCCACAAGUAUCGUCAUUUCCUCCUCAUAACCAUCGCGUGUAGACUUGAGUUCCUCUUCUAGCUCUGUGAUCCUGGUCAUUGCCUUCUUCAAAUCUAUCAUGCUUGCGCACAUCUGGUUCUCCUGGCGACGAAUGUGACGGUUUAACUCCUGGAUGAAUGUUGCAAUGGACCUGUCCUUCCUGGUGCUGAUCAUCUCCCAUUGCUCAUCUCGGCGCCCACAUAUCUGGUAGAUAGUGUCCUUAAGCUCCUUGUGAUAAACUUCGCCAAUGCGUCUCAUGGCGAUGUGGGCUGCCAUGCUAUUUCCUAGACUCCAAGUUGGUGCAUCAAAGGAAAAAUCUAUGGACUCAGUGACUGACGUGAAUGUCCUUCCUGGAACUUGAACUCGAAUCAUCCAACGCUCCUAUUCUGGUAAAGUGGCGGUGUAGGUCCCGGUGAAGCUUGGUAUUCCGAUGUUCAGAUACCCAGUGACUUCCUUCAAGUGUCGUCCAAAAGGGGUGUCUUCAUUUGGCUGUGUAAACUUGUUCCUUGAGUCCGCCAUCAUAAAGAGUAGAAAACAGAGAGGAGUCUGAAAUGAGUAGAGAAGAGUGAUCUAUGGCUCAUCUUAGUGGUCGUGUCCUACAUUCAACAUGUGCUCUGAUACCAUCUUGUAGUAACCCGACCUCAGACGGUCAAGUCUCUGUGCUUCAGUGUCAUCCCUAGAUCGGUAAUGCUGACACACACAGUACUCGAAGGAUUUAUAAUAGAGUAGCAAUCACACACUUAUUACAUUGAAUGUCUCAAAAGAGAACUUAUUACAAUAAAUAUGGCUUAAGGCCAUCUAAAUAAGAUAACAGCGGAAGACUUGGAAUAUAAAGUGAGUCCAUCAACUCCAACGGCAUAGCUGAGUGCACGACAACCGACCUAUGGCACCUUACUCGUCGUCUGAAAAGUCUGCAACAUGAUACGUUGCAGCCCGAAAACGGGUCAACACAUGGAAUAUGCUGGCAUAGUAACACAAUAGAGCAAAGAACAGAUAAAUGCUAUCACUACAUGCAUAUAUGGCUGGUGGAGGCUCUAUAGUUACAAUGUUUUUGCGAAAAGCCAAUUUUUCCCUACAACAAAGGAAUAUAUUUUAUUUAACUAUCAUGGUAGUUGAAACAACAUUGAGAAUGGUACCCCCAUCUCAAUCCCAAUUAAAAGUAAUUAUCAACCCAACAAAUUAAUUUAAAGUGAUGAGAUCCAUAUGAUAAUCCAAAAACCAGAUACUCAAGAUGUCCAUAACCGGGGACACGGCUAACCAUGAUUAGUUUGUACACUAUGCAGAGUUUUGCGCACUUUUCCCCACAAGACUCGAUCUCCUCCGUUGGAUUUCUUGCACUAAAUGGUGUUUAAGAAACGGAUGACUGAGACACAGUCUUUCAGAAGCAUUAACUCUAACCCCGGGUAGACCGUACCAACCUACAUCCCCUACAUCUGCUAGUCUACCACUAGAAGAGGUCAUGCAACUUACUCCACUAUGCUAGAGCCCAUAAUAGCUUGUGGCUGCACACGGAAGUUUCAAGCAUGAAUAAUCUUAUGAUCCCUUUGAGCCUGGGUGGCGGACCAUAGGAGGAUCGCACGGUAUAACCCCGGGAUCUCCUAGGACAACACUGGUAUAACCCCAGGUGCCCACAAGCAAUUCACCCAGAUGUGUAUUAAAAUUGCCACCUUAAGUUGAACCAUUAAUUAACAAACUCACAUCUGUCAUGGCUACUCUCAAACCCAAACCACGUCUACGAGCAUAGCUUGGCAAUAUAAGCAUAACGCAGUAGUAACUCCCAAGGGUUUGAUAAUAAACAGGUAAUAGGUUCUACUUCAUCUGCUACUUCCCAAAACCCACAUGGUAAAACACAUCCUAAUGCAAUGUUUGAGGAUUGAAACUAAUGCAUAAAAACUGGGUAUGAAAGAGUAUGAUCAAUGUGUUACUUGCCUUGCUGACGAUCUGCAAAUCCUAAAGACUCGUAGUAGCACGCUUCGCACUCCGAGUAUUCUAUCGCAAACAAACAAUAGCAUACAUAAGCAAUCAAGCAAAGAAGCACGGGUAAAACUCAAAUAAGAAGAUCUAACCAGAAAGUGCAACUAAAGAACUCCGGUUUGCAAAAAGAAUCAAAUCAAACGGAGCAAUGAAACUGAAACUACGAAAGAAAGAAGAUCCGAUUACUAAUCUGGACUAAAGUCAAAUUUUUAGAGUACCAAAAUCUUGUUCAAGUUGGUUAAACGAAAAGAGAGCUUCGAGACGAAGAUAUAGGUGCUUGUUUCAUCCGAUUUGGAUAAAUGAGCGAAAAGAUAAACUAAAACGAAGAUUAGGGCAGGAAUCACGAUUGAAAAUAAUCGCAGAAAAACCCUGGAAAAAAAUGAGACGAACAGCCUAACGAAGGAACGUUCAUUGUCUGCGGCUAACUGACGAACAGCGUUCGUUAAAAUGAACGUCCGUUAUUUAACUAAACCGAGGAAAAACCAACAAAACUGAUCUAAAUAAAAACCGAGAUCUAGGGUUUCGAAAAAAACGUCGGUUUUUCCCGAGAAAAACCGGACGGCGGAGGGGUCGGCGGCGGCGGGGCGGCGACGGCGGACGGCGGCGGCGCGAGGCGGCGAAGGCUCGCGGCGGUGGCUGGCGCUGGGAUCGAGGCGGUGGCGCUAGGGUUAGGCGGGCGCGACGCUGCGCGACUUGGGCCUCGGGGCGGCUGGCUCGGGCGGGCUUUAAAGGCCUUCGGGCGAAGUAUCCUGGAUGGACACGGCCUGUUAGGUCGGUGACUUUUUUUAAAUAAAUCCUGACUCGGAAAAACAAAUAAAAGAAAUACUAAACGGAGUCCAAAAAUCCUGAAAUAAAUUUUCACGGUCCUUUAAUAAUAUUGCGGACAAAGUGAACAUUUAUUUGGGCCUCUAAUGCAAUUUUGAAAAACGCAUAUUUUUUCUAAUUCAAAUAAAAUAGCAACAAAAACCCAAAUAAAAUUACUUAUUUGAUUUUAAUAUGUUUUCCUCUGAUAUUUCAUUUAUUUUGGGGAAGUCAUAUUAUCUCCUCUUAUAUAUUUUAAUUAGAAAUAUUUUCGGAGGGGAAAAUAAUUAAAAUCAAAAUGAUCCUUGUUUUGAUAUUUGAUAAAAUUAAAAUAUGAAAAACAUGAAACCCCCAACUCUCUCCGUGGGUCCUUGAGUUGCUUAGAAUUUCGAGGAUCACAAAGCAAAAAUGCAGAAAAAUAUGAUAUGCAUGAAUGAUCUAUAUAUAACAUUCCAAAUUGAAAAUUUGAGAUGUUACAGGUGCAUACUUAGGGUGAACACUUAUACCUUGAAAUUUAGUGAGAGAACAUAUUAUAAUGCUACCGUUGUACUAAGCAAAAUAAGAUGCAUAAAGGAUAAACAUCACAUGCAAUCAAUAUAAGUGAUAUGAUAUGGCCAUCAUCAUCUGGUGCCUUCGAUCUCCAUCUCCAAAGCACCGUCAUGAUCAGCAUUGUCACCAGCUUGACACCUUGAUCUCCAUCGAAACAUCGUUGUCGUCUCGGCAACUAUUGCUUCUACGACUAUCACUACCACUCAGUGAUAAAGUAAAGCAAUUACAUGGCGAUUGCAUUUCAUACAAUAAAGCGACAACCAUAUGGCUCCUGCCAGUUGCCGAUAACUGUUACAAAACAUGAUCAUCGCAUACAACAAAUUAUAUAUCAUCACGUCUUGACCAUAUCACAUCACAGCAAGCCCUGCAAAAACAAGUUAGACGUCCUCUACUUUGUUGUUGCAAGUUUUACGUGGUUGCUAUGGGCUUCUAGCAAGAACCGUUCUUACCUACGCAUCAAAACCACAACGAUUUUUCGUCAAGUAUGCUGUUUUAACCUUCAACAAGGACCGAGCGUAGUCAAACUCGAUUCAACUAAAACUGGAGAAACAGACACCCACUAGCCACCUGUGUGUGAAGCACGGGGGUAGAACCAGUCUCAUGAAAGCGGUCAUGUAAUGUCGGACUGGGCCGCUUCAUCCAACAAUACCGUCGAAUCAAAGUAUGACAUGCUGGUAAGCAGUAUGACUAUUAUUGCCCAUAACUCUUUGUGUUCUACUCGUGAAUAUAACAUCUACGCAUAGACCUGGCUCGGAUGCCACUGUUGAGGAACGUAGUAUUUCAAAAAAAAUCCUACGAUCACGCAAGAUCUAUCUAGGAGAAGCAUAGAAACGAGUGGGGAAAGUGUGUCCACGUACCCUCGUAGACCUAAAACGGAAGCGUUUAGUAACGCGGUUGAUGUAGUCGAACGUCUUCGCGAUCCAACCAAUCAAGUACCGAAUGCACGGCACCUUCGCGAUCUGCACACGUUCAGCUCGGUGACGUCCCUCGUACUCUUGAUCCAGCUGAGGCCGAGGGUGAGUUCCAUCAGCAGGACGGUGUGUUGACAGUGAUGAUGAAGUUACCGACGCAGGGCUUCGCCUAAGCACUACGACAAUAUGAGUGAGGUGUAAAACUGUGGAGGAGGGCACCGCACACGGCUAAAGAUCAACUUGUGUCUAUGGGGUGCCCCCUCCCCCGUAUAUAAAUCAGGGGAGGAGGAGGGCCGGCCACAAGGGACGCACCCAAGGGGGGAUUCCUACUCCUAGUAGGAGUAGGUUUCCCCCUUUCCUAGUCCAAGUAGGAGAAGAAGGAAGGAGAGGAAGAAGAGAAGGAAAGGGGGCCAGCCCCCCUAGCCCUUAUCCAAUUCGGUUUGGGCUAGGGGCGCGCGCCAUACCUUGGCCUGCCUACUCUCUUCCACCACUAGGCCCACGAGGCCCAAUAACUUCCCGGGAGGGGUGGGGUUCCGGUAACCCCCGGUACUCCGAAACUUAUCCGAAACGACCCGAACCAUUCCGGUGUCCGAAUGUAGCCUUCCAAUAUAUGAAUCUUUAUGUCUCGACCAUUUCGAGACUCCUCGUCAUGUUCGCGAUCUCAUCUGGGACUCCGAACAACCUUCAGUACAUCAAAUCACAUAAACUCAUAAUAUGAAUCGUCAUCAAACGUUAAGCGUGCGGACCCUACGGGUUUGAGAACUAUGUAGACAUGACCGGGACACAUCUCCGGUCAAUAAACAAUAGCGGAACCUGGAUGCUCAUAUUGGCUCCUACAUAUUCUACGAAGAUCUUUAUCGGUCAAACCGCACAAGAACAUACGUUGUUCCCUUUAUCAUCGGUAUGUUACUUGCCCGAGAUUCGAUUGUCGGUAUCAUUAUACCUAGUUCAAUCUCGUUACUGGAAAAUCUCUUUACUCGUUCCGUAAUGCAUCAUCCCGCAACUAACUCAUUAGUCACAUUGCUUGCAAGACUUAUAGUGAUGUACAUUACCAAGAGGGCCCAGAGAUACUUCUCCGACAAUCAGAGUGACAAAUCCUAAUCUCGAUCUAUGCCAACUCAACAAACACCAUCGGAAACACCUGUAGAGCAUCUUCAUAAUCACCCAGUUACGUUGUGACGUUUGAUAGCACACGAAGUGUUCCUCCAGUAUUCGGGAGUUGCAUAAUCUCAUAGUCAUAGGAACAUGUAUAAGUCAUGAAGAAAGCAAUAGCAAUAAACUAAACGAUCAUAGUGCUAAGCUAACGGAUGGGUCUUGUCCAUCACAUCAUUCUCUAAUGAUGUGAUCCCGUUCAUCAAAUGACAACACAUGUCUAUGGCUAGGAAACUUAACCAUCUUUGAUUAACGAGCUAGUCUAGUAGAGGCAUACUAAGGACACUAUGCUUGUCUAUAUAUUCACACAUGUACUAAGUUUCCGGUUAAUACAAUUCUAGCAUGAAUAAUAAACAUUUAUCAUGAUAUAAAGAAAUAUAAAUAACAACUUUAUUAUUGCCUCUAGGGCAUAUUUCCUUCAGAAUGUUGAUGUUUUUCUCCAUAAAAUUGGUCAACCUAUAUGAAGUUUGACUUCAGACAAAUUUCAUAUGUAGAGUAAGAAGGACCAAAGAGAGUAUCAAUGAUGUACUCCAUUCACCGCAUCACCAACAAUUUGAAAAUAACUUUAAUUACGAUUAAUCUUGCAAAUAACAUUCAUUGUAUUAAUUACAUUUAAUUUCAUAAUGGCGAGGUAUCAACUCACACAAGUACCAUGAAGCAAGUCAUAUUUUGGGCGAGAAAAUUUCUUAUAUAUUUAUUCAUAAUGCCAUGGCAGUAAAAGAACACAGAAAUAAUAAAAAUACAUUCAUAUUCGUAGACCAUCUAAACUUUAUUGAUAUCCGUAUUAAUUACAUGCAAUAGAAAAAUGUAUUCAUAUCCGUAUUAAUUACAUGACCGUUUAUAUGUUUAUGUGCAUCGUUGCAUGCAAUAGAAAAUUAAGUUGCUCAUGAAAAGGUAAAAAUGCACCGCUUCUAAUCCUAUCGAAAGUAAAACGAUAACGUUACCUGGUGAACAGUCGCCAGGAACACCCGUCCAGCAAGCGACCCUAUUAUCUAUCUUAGGGGUGUUGGCGGUGGGGUGCAGGUUCGUCGGAAAAAAUGGUUCAUGGCUGAGUUAGAGAGAUGGUCUGAGGCGAUGGGGGCACAGCCGUGGGCGGUGGUUGGGGGAGGGCGAGGCUGGAGCGGGAGCGCCGCCGCCACAAGCGUCGGCAGCACACAGUUAGUCUGAUGGUAGAUCUGGAGGUUCGAGGUUAAAGAAGGUGAACAAUGACCGUUUCAGAGGUUGAAGAAGCUUAAUCGCCACCCAAUGGCUCAUAGCGAAUCCGACUUUCCCAAAUUGGAUUUUCAGUCACAUGACCGCUCCAUGCUAGCUCGUCGCACGCUAGUGAAGCCCUUAAGUAGAAGUUCCAAAUGGAUUGUACAAUUAUUUGUUAGAAUUGUGAUCAAGGAAAUAUUUUAUAUCUCCUCUCUUUGCUACACUACUGAAUCAAACUGAUGAAUAGUGUCUCCCCAAAGAAAAAUCGUGUGUUUCUCAUCCCUUUUUCUAUCAUAACGAAUGAAAACUUUAUGCAGGCUUGUUAUUGCCAAUUCGCCAUCAUGAGCUUGACAUUAGAAUAGAAACUUGCCAAUCUUCAACAGGACAUACAUAAAUCAGGCGUCAUUUUAUGGUUUACUUGGACCCCAUGAAUCUCACUCAGCUGAGCGACGGAGUAUAAAAGCGCACUACAUAAAACAUCAGCAUCUUUUAUCAUGUUCCUUUUAUUUUCUUUACCUUUUCUGUGCCCAAAAGAGCUUUUACUGCUACAAUCUUACAGUCAAAGAGGCAAAAAGGAGCAAAAAAAUAGGAGUUACAAAAUGGUGGCCAUAAUCACUCCGAAACCACUGCGCUACCGGUUUUAAAGUACACACAGCACGCGCAAAACCAUAUUAUGGUCUGUAAAUCAGAAAGCACACUCCAAAAGACAAGACUUCUAAAAUACAGUCUCUCGCAAUCUCUCUAUCAACAUGGCAAUCAGCAGCACAAGCUGUGUCUCGUCUCUCCUGUGGCAC
rnacentral:lncRNA from 1 species